rnacentral:lncRNA from 1 species
AGUUGCCAAAUCCCAGCUCCACAACUCUAGUACAUUUUGUGAGAGAGCUCCACCCAACUCCACUCCCAGUUUUGGUGGAGCUGAAACUGUUUGGCUGAGCUCCAGCUCCACCCCUCCUGUAGCUGGAGCUGGAGUUGCAUUUUGAUCGUAAUACUUCAUUCGAUAUAUUUUUAUAGCUAGCGAUGACAAUGUCAAGAGCUCAGUUCUAAGAUUGUUUGCGCGCAGGCACCACUACUAUUCUUUCUUUUCUUGUUAUGCAUCCGGUCCUAUAAAUCUUUUUUUUCUGACCAGAGGAAGAGAAAAAGAGAGAAAUGUCGAUAAGUUAAUUCCUGUGGAUGUCUACUUGCCGGGCUGCCCACCUAAACCGGAGGCGGUUAUAGAUGCCCUAACAAAACUUCAUAAGAAGAUAUCGCGAGAAAUAGUUGAGGAUCGAACUCCUUUCUUUUCUAUUUCUUCUAUUGGCUGGUCUGGGGAAAGCGGAUCACACGAAGAUCUAUAGUGUUUAAGUCCAUCUUUCUCUUCCUGCAAUCUACUGAGAUAUGCCUCAGCUGCAGGUGCUUUGUAUCUCUGGUCAAGAGUUGGCAAGGGAUACUUAACCCAUGCCAUCCCUUUCAACCUUGGAAAGUGUUAUCCUAGAAUCUAUCAUUCUCCAAAAAUCCCUAAAGGCCCCCCGGGCUUGACAAGUUCAGCAAAACCGUAGAGAAAGCAGGUUACACCUAGCUUAGCCUAUCCAAUAUCCGAUUCAAAAAGAGCUUGGAUUGCUGCCUCCCGGGGGACAAAGCAAAGUCAAAGCGCUUGAUCCUUUGCCCCAUACUUUUAGAUCUUCCUCCCCAACAAGCAACGGGUUGAGCCCGGAAGAAGCAGGGAUUGAACCAGGGCUUGUUGACAGAGCAGAUAUCAAAAGCCUAUGUUAUCUCAUUUUCAGGGACCGAGCAAGGGAUGAGCGCCCUCUGAUCUAACGACCAAACAAGCAACUGCCUCAGGUUUUGAAUAAAUCACUGAUGGACGGAAGGGAGCGGGGGCCAGCUCCCUUCCUAUGAAAGACCCGAGCUUACUGGGAUGAUACCCCUUUACAUACUAAUGGGUGUAAACAAAUAGUACGCCCCUCUACUAAAGUGGGUUGGAAAGCCUGUAUGCCUAAUCUAUGCAGGGUAGGUGCGCCGCUACUUAUUUCUUUCUCACUCACUACUUUUUUCUAUUUUCUUUUGUCUAUCGAAACAGCCUAGGAUUCAAUUUGAUUUAUCCUAGUGGUGACAGCUUAUGCUUGUCCUUGGAACCGGGCGCGGCCCUCUUUCCGCUAUUAUGAGCGGGUUUUGGGUUAGCCAGAGCGGGCCAAUAGGGAUAAACAAAGUAUGGAAGUAGUUGUGAGGUAAUCAGAUGGCUCAAGAUAAGUUGGAGACGUACUUGAGAUAGAUAAUUUAUGUAUUUCGCUAUUUCGAAUACCUAAACUCAAGCGGUGCUAAUUUGCUAAUCCAAGCCUUAUCAAUAAUACCAACACGCCGUCUGAUCCAAGAUUAGCAACCUCUCUUUCUCUCAUAGAGGGAACCUCACUGACGCAUUCAGGGCUCUGCAGUUGAAGCGUUCCUUCGGAAUACACCACAAAUACACUGGUGGAUGUACUGAUGGACACGACGAGUACUUCUUCUGGGGGGCCUUCCGUGAAUCAGUCGGCGCGUGUUAGCGCAUUCGGAACCACACAUUUUUAUACGAUUUUCGGAUCAUUUGAUUUUCGUUUUGAAAACUUUAAAACCUUAUCAGAGAGGGGCCACCCCAACAUGAUCAAUAGGCUGAUGGCCUUACCAAACCGCUCUGCUCUUGAGCUUUCUUUCCUCCCUUAUGGCGGCGCAUUGGGGCACUAGAAAUCAAAGAAAUCUGCUAUGUUAUGUGUUAUGAGUUUGGGACCCAGCUGCUGAUGUUAGAGCUCUUUUCGAAAGAGCAGCUUAUCCAAGUAGUUAGUUUCCAGAACAGAGCGAGAAAGAAGAGAAAGAGAGGUACGCACUGUGAAAGAAGCCCACGUUCCCACUCUUCUUUCCCCCGUUGAUCGGGUUGUUAAAAGGGUUAGUCCUGUUGUUAGGAAGAGUUAGCGGUGUUUACACCGGUGUCAUGUGUACGGGGAUACGUGUAUUAAGAAAAAAGGCCCAGAAGGCAUGUUUUCGAAGCUUCCCCCGAAGAAUCGUCACCAAAGACAUUCUUCCAUGGGUUUUUUACAUGGGGGGGGGGGCUCGGUUUUGCACGCACCCUCCUUUCGUUAUUCCACCUUGAGCCUAGUGUAGUUGGGGAGAGGAGACCCCUGGGGUCAAGGUUGAAUCAAUAGAUCACAGUCUUGGAUCAAAGGGAUAAGCCAGAUGUCAGUGGGAAGGCGGAUUUUGCAUUUGGAGGCUUUCUUGCAUACCUUUUCGAAUUCUUUUUGUAUAGCUUAGUUACUUCUUCAGCGUAGCAGGCAUGCCCACGGGAGGCACCCUCCAAAUCACUAAAAGCAGCACUAUACCACCACAAGUAGAGGCUUCGCAGUGACAACCUUGAUCGAAUGUGUAGGAUAGGUGGGAGGUGGUGACACACAACGACCAAUCCUGAAAGACCACUCUUUCGUCUAAGGAUGCCUAACCGCCGCACCCUGGAUCCAUUCUGACCUAAUUGGAUGAAUGAAGAAGAGGGCGAGCAGAUACGACGGAUGGUCCAACUACAGAACUUCUUCUUUUUCAUUACUUCCAUGGUCGUGCCCCGUGGCACGGAACGGCUGUUUGGAGUUGAAGCCGGACUAGAAUUGGGAGCAAAUUCCGGCAACGAAUGGAUGUCCUCUUUUCUUCUUGUACGGCCCUGGUCUGCAUCGGGAGAAUGGGAAUAACGAUCUUUUAUAUGAUACGGAAAGCGAAGAGAAUAGACUGCUACAUACUAAGUUGGUUAUUCGUAGAUUUUUAAUCGAUUAGUUAACAUGGUGGUUAACCGUAUUAUGAAAGACGGAAAAAAAUCAUUGGCUUAUCAAAUUCUCUAUCGAGCCAUGAAAAAUUUUUUCAACAAAAAUGUGAAUUAGGAAGGAUUGGUCGACGAAAUAUGAAUCGAAGACUGAAUCUUGAUAUACCUCAUAACAGCACCUUCUUGUUACCGCGAAAUGCAAUAGGCAAUCGGCUAGAUGGCACAUCCAACCUGUUCACAGUUUUAUGCUGCUGGCACUUCAGAAACCAGAGCUGGGAUUGGUAGCGGUUCCACUUCUCAAGUUUGCAUAUUCUGAUCACACAAUGGAAUUCAGGUGGACCAGGGUUUGGGACACUAAUCUUUAAAUUAUAGAUGCAUUAUAACAUGUCAAGGGAGGCGCCGAGAUAUGAUAUGACCAAAGGCCUUGUUGUUGUUGCGACCACUGAGUAUCUAGGGUCAUUCCCUUUACCAAACAUUGGAGUUGCUGCUCGCUCGAAAGCUUUUGCUUUCUUCGGUACUGGUACUUCGGUCAAAGUACCUAAACCUCACUAAACCUAUGCUCUAGCUUCGAAAACAGGCCUUCUGGGUCUUUUUUCUCAAUACACGUAUCCCCGUACACGUGACACCGGUGUAAACACCGCUAACUCUCCCUAACAACAGGGUAUGGGGAGGGGAGAGAAGAGUGGGUAUGAGGGCUUCUCUCGCCAUCCAUAGCCCCCUUUCUUUAAAAUGCAAAGUGGACGUUCCCGCACGAACGGCGUGAACUCUGAUUCGAUCCGGGUAUUCAAUCCCACCGCUGAGAUGCUCAGUUGACUCCAUUAUCGAAUGGGGCAGACACUCCCAUGAGCUAUUUCAACCACUUACUAACACAGGGACACCACCAUUUUAAAGCUGAACUAUGAUCUUCUUUCGUGCACAUCUCGCUUUUUUUUUCAUUUAUGCGAAUGAAUUGCAGAACCAAACUAAAAUGGGUUGAUCGGAGCUAUUCUCUAGAAUUUCAAACUUGAGAUGACUUGCUUGAAGCGGCUGAGGCUCUUCCUAAUGGAAGAAAGGACAUCCAAUGUUAGGAUGGAUCUAAUUCAAGAAUUUCUAGCUCUAUACGCGAGGAACGGAUGCUGUUUUGACUUUUUUCUUCUUGCUUUAAUCCAGUCGCUCGAUAGGACUUCCCGUAACCCGAAAAGGUUGGUUCUUCCCCUACAACCCCUACCCCUCCAAGGCAGUACUCUUCAUCGGCAAAUCCGAAUGUCUCGAUCCGAGUUGAGACCCACCUACAGAAAUUGAUCCAUCAAAGAAUUUCCUGCUGCUAUCAUAUAAUACUCAUCUCUAUUUGGUGAUAAAUAAACCACCUGUCUCUCUUUUUUUUUCUUUGCUUUCUCAGAUAUUUUAGAUUGAAAGCCAUAGUACUAAUACCUAAAGCAGUGAACCAAAUCCCUACUACAGGCCAAGCAGCCAAGAAGAAGUGUAAAGAACGAGAGUUUUUAAAACUAGCAUAUUGGAAGAUUAAUCGGCCAAAAUAACCACUUUUUCAAAACCUAUCAUUAAGGGCGUGACGACGAUAUACGAGAGGAAUAAAAAAAAACUCGUGAUUGGUGUGGAGGGGAAGAUCUGCUUAUGAAAUUGUUCAAGAAAGAGUCGUCUCAUUUCCUUAUAUUGAAUUCCUUCUAUGGUUCCACAUGAGAAACCAGUACGAAUAUAACCUACAUGUCCAAUCGAAUUAUGAGCUAGAGGUCUUUUGACUUUCGUUAGAUUAUCUUGAACAUAGGUGCGAGUAAGUUGUAUUGUUUGGUCUUUAUAGCUACAGUUUGAUGGUUUGGUCGUUGCUUCCUCGUUUUCUAUUUAUUCAUCUAAUUAAUCUCCAUUAUAACCUACGAGACAAAGUGAUUAACUAUAUGAUUAACGAGUAAUAUGCUGCAUAUGCAUUGGAGCAUUGUGGUGUUGUACGCAUGGAGCCCGGGCAAUUGCCCAUGGUGGCCAGGCGCUGCAUCCGCCACCAACAGUCGACGUCGCGGCUGAUGAGCGUGGCGUGGAGCGCAAUGCGGCCGGCUCUCCGGCCCAUGAGCUUGGUGAGGCCGACGCCGUUCACUGCGCCCUCGGUCUCCACGUGCCCGGUGGCGAUGGCAUGCUGCGCCGCGUCCACCGCCGUGUGGAACCCGAACGAGCCGCCGCUGCUGGACCUCACGGUGGAUUGUCGCCGCGCCGCGCAUCAUGUCGUCCCCACCGCCGUUGGGGUGGGACGGAGGAGGAGCAGAGGCGGCGCAGGGGGACGAGGAUGCAGGAGGUGGGCCAGCGAGGGAGGAGCCUGGAAGGUGAGGUAGCGGUGGCGGUGAGGGCGGGGAGAGGAAGGCAGCGGCUCGAAGGUGGAGUGCGGUGGUGGCGCGCAAGGUCGCCUCCUACUGCCCACCUCGCUCACCUGCGGGAAGAGAAGAUGAAGAGAGGCGGGAGGGUAGAAGAGAGAAGUGAGGAUGAAGAAGCAGAGAGAGAAGGGAGAGGGAAGAAGGGAGGUGAGGUUGACAUGUGGGGUCCAUGUGUGCCUCAUCAUUUUUAAUUAUUUUUUAACUGACAUGUGGGGCUAUGAUUUUUAUUAUUUUUCCGGGAUCAAAUUGUCACGUAAACGCCACGUGGGAUGACGACCAACCUACCACGUGGCGCCACGUCAAUCAAAAUUACCUUCUAACCCGCCGAGGGAACUUGUUUGCACCGGUUUUGACAGUUCAGGGAUCGGUUGUAUCUUUUUGGGUUAAGGACAAAAAUCGGAUUCGGUGUAAAGUUAAGGACGUCAAAUGAACUUAUUCCAAUCAAUUGGUAUGUCUCAUAUUUUGGCGCAGAAAACCCAAACUUAGGCCCAUAUUUUGGUACCUCGGGAAUGGGCCGGGUACAGUGUGAACACGUUCCAGCCAUAUAUAACCCCUUCGUCUCCAGUCCCCAUCCCCCCCUUCCCUUUCCUCCACCCACGCCGCGACGACGAGUCGCCGCCGCGGCCUCGCCGGCGACCAGGUCUCCGGCGGCCCCGCCGCCCGCCGUGACGGGGCUCCGGCCUUCCGCCCUCCUCCCCGCACCGCCCGCUAUCUCGGCUCCCCGACUCCUGCAUUCCCCCGACUCUCCCCCGGCCGCCGCCGCCGCCAUUUCUGACUCUUUCUCCGCGGCGCGUCUCUCCUCCGAGAGCACGCCGACCGCCUCCCGAAGCGGCGUCGCGGCCGCGGCGGCCGCCGCCUUCUCCCGCCCCUGAUGGCUGGCGAUUCCCGAAAUGAGGCGGGUUCUUUCUCCUUUGCCUUUUUUUACUGCUCGGAUGAAAUUUGAAUCUGUGUAUGCUUGUGGUUGUGAUGAAAUUUAGCUUGUUCUGUCCCCGCAGCCGAUGUUUUGCGAGGAAGGGAGCAGUGAAUCGGGCUAUGUUCUAUGUGUUAUUGAUUCGCUGAAGAAGAAAAUCACAUCGGACCGCUUUGUUUACAUCCAGGUGAUUUGAUUUGAUUUGAUUGUUUGGAGCUGCAAAUCUCGGUCAUUUUCUUGUAUUUUCUUUAUUUACCAGCUGAUUAGUUUUGUUCCCCGUGAUCUUUUUUUCCAGAAAAGGGUAGAGGAGAAUAGCAUUAAGCUUAGCCCGAUUACACUGCACUCUCACAAUUUGUCAAAAAAUAGGCAAACUAGUACAUCCAACAGUACAGAUUUAGUCUCGAAUUUGCUCACAAAGAGGAAAGAAGAUGCCCUGUGUGCUGUGAAUAGUCGUGAGUCAUCUCCUGAUGAAAGUGAAGGUGCCAAUUGCCAAGAUGAGUGUUCAUCGACUGUUAUUGUGGGUGGAAAUCUAUCCGCGAGGAAUUCUGUCCGUCCGAUUAGACUACCAGAAGUGGCAACACUCCCUCCAUAUACAACUUGGAUAUUUUUGGACAGGUGCAUUUUCUUGACAUCCCUAAGAUCCCUGCUUAAAUUACAUAGUUAUCAUGGAAAGUUAUAGCGUAUACACUUUAUUAUCCAUUAGCAACAACAUAGCAAUACUAUUUCAUUUCUCUUGCUAAACAGUAAACACACGCUCAUUUGUGGUCUUUAGUUUUUUGUGCAACAAUCUAUUCAGUCAAACAUAGUUUUUCCGACCUAAUGCUUUAUGUCUCUGGUGAUUUUUUUUCUCUUCAUGUGUAAAUGUGUAAUGGAGAUAUUGCCUUUCGUUCUUACUAUAAGCUUGGGAAAUGGUAUAGUAUAAAAAUGGAACAAGUCCUUAUGCGGCCCCUUGCUACGUGCCCCACCUCUCUCUUAAUCACAUGCAGUUGCAGACUUGCAGGCUGGGAGUGUGUGUUAAAACAAGAGCAGCAAAUGCCACAUUGACUGCCUUGAAUUCAUCUUCUUGGCUUUGGUAGCAAAGCUAUUGUGCCAGAACCAUUGGCUUUGCCUGCUGCAGUGUUUCUUUUGCUUUUGCUGUUUCAUCCGCUUUAUGCUUCUUAGUGUUCUCUUUGCUAUUGCGUGAUUUUGUGGAGCAGCAAGCAAAAAAUCAGACUGAAACAUGUUUUUGAUGAAUUGUUUGUUGAUAUGAAUUUAACAGUAUAUCUCAUAUGACAAACUUCUAUUUUUCUAAAUAAGUAAUGCAAAACAUGCAUGGUCACAGUUACAAUCCAGCAUACUUUUAGUUUGGAGAGGUAGGGCAUCUUAAGGUUUGUUGAAAUAUAAGAUUUUACAAUCUUUCGUGCAGGAACCAGCGGAUGCAAGAAGACCAAUCUGUACUUGGUCGUCGAAGGAUUUACUAUGAUACAAACUGUGGCGAAGCUUUAAUUUGCAGUGAUAGUGAAGAUGAAGCUGUUGAGGACGAGGAAGAGAAAAAGGAGUUCAAGGAUUCUGAAGAUUGCAUAAUUCGGUAAAUAUGCUUUGGACAUGCAUUUGUUUUCUUUUGCCUUGAACAUUCACUAAGGAUGCUCAACUUGUUUGACCGUUACAGGCUCAUGGGACCAAGAUACAGGUGCAGUUACCAUAGCACCUGGAGCUUGGGCUCAGUCCAUAGAAUAACAGAUCUGAUGACUCUGUAGUAAUAGUUUCAUGGAGAAAUGCUUUCUUCUGUAAGCAUUUUGUCAUAUUCUCUGUUUUUCUUUUGACUGGGAAAACUACCAGGACUUUGCCUAGUAGUGUAAUUUCAUUAAAGAAUAAAAAAUAGUAAUAUUCUCUUUUUGAAGUCACAAUAUAACAUAGUACAGAAGCAAUAGAGAAAUGAUAUUAAAUAUACUGGUCAAGUAACAUUUGGUAUGAAAUAUUCCCAAGAGAUUAUUUAGUAAAACUACAUUAUUAAAAACUUGUAAGAAAAAGGGUUUGGUUUUGGGGCAUAUGUCUUAUAUCAUUAAAUGAAAUGGUCAUUACCAGUUUUAUCUACAUUGUUCCAGGGGAAAACCUUGAGCUGGUCACACUGCAUAUUUGACCUGGUUUUGUUUUGUGCAACCCUUGCACAAGCAAGAAAAGUAUGGUUACAGCAUUAAUCUGAGUUGUUUGUGGAUUAAUUUAGACCUUAAACAUCAUAGAUCACAAUAAUUUGGUUUCUCCUGUAUGGAAUUCUUCCACUUAAGGGUGAUUUUGUGCAAUGAUUGCCAGGAUGACCAUUCAAGAAUGUGGCAUGUCUGAUGCUGUGCUUGAAACUCUAGCUCGAGAUAUCGAAAGGGCUCCUGAUGAUAUAAAGGUUCAUACAACAUUUAUUCAAUCUCACGUCACAUUUGCAUUUGAUCCAUUUGGGAUUUUCCUCUUCCAACUUAUUGUUUCAUUUCUGAAAAAUUAAAUUACGUGUCUAUUUUCCAGGCCAGGUAUGAGAUCCUACAAGGGGAGAAACCUGAGGGUUCUUCCAAGAAAGUGUCUGAACUUAAUGUCAAAAUGGAAGACGUGUACGGUGAUAAAGAUCUGGAUGCAGCAUUGGAUUCCUUUGACAAUCUCUUUUGUCGCCGAUGUUUGGUACGUUUUCUGUUAAUUGUCAUGUGUGUUUUACAUAAUAUCUCUGGUUUACUGAUGAAACAUUCUGCUCAUUUUGAUGUUGGAAGGUUUUUGAUUGCAAGCUACAUGGGUGUUCUCAAGAUUUAGUAUUUCCGGUAAUUUUCAAACCAAUGAGUUAUUUCCUAAACUUGUGUGUUGUUCUAAUUAGUGUCCUUUUCGUAUAGACUGAAAAGCAGGCACCAUUGUGCAGCUCGGAUGAGGGUACACCAUGUGGUAUUCACUGUUACAAACUGGUCUGUAUUUUAUAGGCAUAUGACUGUGGAAAAGCAGCUCUUCUUUUAUGAUGAUUUAGAUAUCCGAAACAUAAGCAUAUGCCGUUUUGCUGAUCUUUACCUCAUUUAUAAUCUUUUUGUCAGGUCUCUAAACCAGAUGCUAUCAUGGAGAUUGAUUCUCAUUUGCUUGUUGAUGUUGAGGAGCCAACAUCGGACAAUCUAAAGGAUCAGAUAGGGUCAAAUAAGAAAAAGCUUGGUUCUAGUGGGCAGAAAACAAAAUCUCAACAAAGUGAAAGUUCUUCAACUGCAAGGGUUUCCUCAGAAAGCAGUGAGUCUGAAGUACAACUGUUAAGCAAUAAAUCCCCGCAACACUCUCCUGGCCUCUCAAAAAAUAAGCUUGGCGCAAAAGGUGGAAUCAAGAAAAGUACUAACAGAAGAAUUGCUGAGAGAAUUCUAAUGAGUGUGAAAAAGGGGCAACAGGAAAUGUCACCGGACUCUAAUUCUAUUGUUAAUGGAUGCCAUUGGCCUAGGGAUAUGAAGCUUAGAUCUGAUACUAGGAGUGGAAUUAAGGAUUCUGUUGUAUCCUCACAGUGUAAUUCUCCAAGCACAAGGAGUUUUAGAAAGAAGGGCACACUUCAAAUGGAGAAUAACUCAUCUUUUGUGGAUGCUCAGAGUGAUUCAAUGGAGGAUACAAAUAAUGAACAUUCAGCAACAGAUGGUUGUGAUAGUUCAAGGAAAGAGGAAUGUGUUGAUGAGAGUAUAUGCAGGCAAGAAGCUCAUGGCAGGUCCUGGAAAGUGAUUGAGCAAGGGCUUCUAUUGAAAGGAUUAGAGAUUUUUGGAAAGAACAGGUUGGUCCCUUGAAAUGAUCAGCUUCAUAUGAAUUAUUUCACUACCUUCUACUUCAUCUUAAUAUUUGUAUACUAUUGCACAACUAACUGCUGUAUCUGUUCAGGACAGAGUAAACGUUAAUGUGUCUAAUCCCUCCGUCCCAAAAUAUAAGGCGUGCUUUGACUUUUAAUUGUCAAUUUCUCACAAGUAUACUGUCUAUACUCUAUAGUGGAACCAACAUCAUAUGAAAGUACAUUCAAAUAUGAAUCUGACAAUACCAUUUUUAUAUCACUAAACCUAUAUAUUGUCAGACUAGUUGUGAGUCAAGAUUUGUAAAAUUUGAAUUUUAAAAUGCGUGCACACCUUAUAUUUUGGGGUGGAGGGAUUAACCUUUCAGUUCAGCACAAGAAACUGACUAUGCUUUCUUUUAAUAUAUCUGUAUUACUAAAAGUAUUCAACACAAAUGUCUAUAUUUAAAGCAAAUGCUCUUGCAUCAUAAUUAGACAUCCCCGAAACUAUAUUCUUAUACUACUACAUUUCAAGUAAAAGCUGUAACAUGAAGAUACAAUCUACAAUUUGUCAUGCAUAACGUAUUGGAAUGCGGAAUUAACUGGAAUUUCUAAUGUUUGCAUCAUUUAGUAUCUAGUUGUGUUAGUUAUAGCGUUUCAUGUACAAGAAAUUCUGAUGUAUGUUCAUUUCAAAUGCCUUAAAAACUCAUUCCUGUUUUCUUUGGAUGUCUUGCAAGCAUAUUGGAAAUGUUCUUUAUCCUUUCUAUAAUGAGUAGAAUACCUUGUUUUCCCUAAUUUGAAUAGUCAUACUGAGCCCUUGUUUUUCCUAUGUUGAAGUUGUUUAAUUGCUCGGAACCUUCUGGGUGGGAUGAAAACAUGCACAGAUGUUUUUCAGUAUAUGAAUUACAUUGAAAACAGCAGUGCAUCUGGAGCUCUUAGUGGUGUUGAUUCUCUUGUUAAAGGAUAUAUGAAGGUAGGAUUCAUCAUAAAGCUCAUUUACUUGUAUUUUCCCAAGGUUUCAUCUUACUUUAAUGCUUGAACUCCCAGGGUAAUGAAUUACGGACAAGAUCAAGAUUUGUGAGAAGGCGAGGAAGGGUCCGCCGUUUGAAGUACACCUGGAAAACUGCAGGCUACCAUUUUAUAAGGAAAAGGAUUACAGAAAGGAAGGAUCAGCCUUGUCGACAAUACACUCCUUGUGGUUGCCAGUCUGCAUGUGGGAAGCAAUGUCCAUGUCUCACAAAUGGUACCUGCUGUGAGAAAUACUGUGGGUGAGCUACUUCAAUUAUUCAUAUUGCAGACUCCGAGAACAUUUUUUCUUCUAGAUAUUAAUAAUGUUGCUUAUGAAAACAAAACUGUGUAGAUGUAUACAAUUUCAAUAUUGUUUGGUUAGUGCCGACCAAUUAUGUCGUAUGAUCACAUCUUAGUUUUGCAAUCAUUGCUGCUUACUGAAAAGGAAAGGAAAAUAAAACCUAGGAGGAACUAGGCACCCUUUCAAUUAAGAGGAAAACAGGCACCAAAUUUCUAGUUGAAGAGGACUUGAACCUUGAUGGUGGGAGAGUGAGGGUGUAAACUCCGCAUUUCUCACCCAAAUGGUGAAUCAAACACAUGCUUCUCUUUUGUUCUGUGUGCUCUUUUGGCUAUUAGCUAUUACUUAUUUUGAUAAUUUAUAAUUUUAAUUGGAAUAAAUGAUGCAAACACAUGGAGUGCAAAUGUUUGCUGUCCGCAUCCUGCUGAUGCAAGUUGAAGUAAUCCUUUCUGCGUUGCAGGUGCCCGAAAAUGUGCAAGAAUCGCUUCCGAGGUUGCCAUUGCGCAAAGAGUCAGUGUCGCAGCCGGCAGUGUCCAUGCUUUGCUGCUGACAGGGAAUGUGAUCCUGAUGUGUGUAGAAACUGCUGGGUAGGGUAUGUAUUUUAAAUUCUGAUGACCCUUUGAAUGAUUUUGCUAGUUAAUGCACAUUUGUAUAUCUUAGAGAAAGGCACCAACUAUAAUGUGCUUUUCAUUCUUUGCACUUCUCCAACCUUACAUCUACCUUGAAAGUUGAGAAAUUACCACCUAUGCCUGCACUUGAAGGAUGGAAUUUUGAUGGAUGAUGGAUUUAUCCUUAAGUGCAGGAAGAAUCUUGCAUAUGUAUAUUCCAGUAUCUGAAGAUACGGAGUUCUGCAGUAAAAUAUCUUAAUGGUAGAAUUGAAUUUAAUUAAUAUAAUCAUAUCAAUUGCUUGCCCAACAGUCCCAAUAGGCAAUAGCUACAUUCCACAAUUAAAAAAAUGGUGCAAUAAUAAUAAUUUGACAUUUCCUUCUCAUACCAUUUGCUAGCAUACUUGAUAGUGUGUGCCAGCACAUUGACAAUUGAUAUUCUAUAUCUAAAUUAUUUAUAACAAUAUCUGAGUUUUAUAGGAGUGUUUACCAGGAGUUAAUCCAUGAAAAAUGUAUCAAUGAUGGGGGAGUUUAAUUUGAAUUUGUUAUGAACGAGCUUCUAAUGGUAGGAAAUGAAAUUUUAGAUACUGUAAGUUGUUAGGCAAACACCAAAGAUGAGUAUAUUAUCCGGCCAGUGUGUAAAUCCAAUCAUGAUCCUUUUUCACUCCAUGGAACCUUAAAUAUGCUUUCUGUUAUUCAUUGUUGAAAUAGUCUGUUAUUCAAUUUCAAUUACUGUUUCUUCAUCCCUAAUUUUUCUAGAACAAAGCGCCAGUACAUUGAACUUCUAUUUUUCUACCUGUACUUUCUAUUGUGCAGGUGCGGUGAUGGUACAUUGGGAGUCCCUAACCAAAGAGGUGAUAAUUAUGAAUGCCGGAACAUGAAACUGCUGCUUAAACAGCAACAAAGGGUAAACCUUUUGCACUUUGAUUUAUUCAUGCUAUUGCACCUUGGUUAUAAUUUCGUCAAGCCUAUCGAUUUUUUAUGCCUGCUUGGCCCUUCCAUUUGCCUUUAUUCGAUGCUUUGAUAUUUUUGUGUGAGGAGGCUUGAGGUCUAAGUUAAUUACCCAGCAGUACUUCUCAAUAGUUUUAUUCUUUUUUUUUAAUAUUUUUCACGUGAGUUCAAAUUCCAGUUGUCUAAAUACAAAAGAUCUUAAGUUUAAUACCAAAGAAACUAGUUAGAGUAACUAUAUUCCAAAACAGGCAAUGAACUAUGAACCAAAAAACUUCCCAUUAGCAGGAAAAUAAUUGCAUAAAGUAUCUAUCGAUUAUGUUGGUGAAUUUAUGAAACACCAGGGGGUGUUACUUCAUUUUCUAUUACAGGUCCUAUUCCAUCUCUAAAUAUCUGUAAAUAGUAUUGACUUGCUAUGUGCACUCUUCAGGUCUUACUUGGGAGAUCUGAUGUUUCUGGCUGGGGAGCUUUCCUCAAGGUAAGAUUUCUCUAUUGACCCUUUUCCUCCCUCAUAGGACGUACCCUCAUCUAACUAGUCCUUUUCCUAAAUCUUCAGAAUAGUGUUGGGAAGCACGAGUAUCUUGGCGAGUACACUGGGGAGCUUAUCUCCCAUAAAGAAGCUGACAAGCGUGGAAAGAUAUAUGACCGUGAGAAUUCAUCGUUCCUUUUCAACUUGAACAAUGAGGUGAGUGCAAAGACACCCCGCAAAUUACGGUCUGCAAGCAUUCAGGAUUGCAUACUGUACUGAUUUGACUAGCCUAAUGUCAUCCUUUUGCGUGAACCGAGUUGUUUACAUCCCCAACCCACUGUUGUUCAAUAUCGCGCGAUUUAUGAUCCGCUGCAGUGUUUUCGCUGUUUUCGCCAGUACCGGAUGCUCACUCACUCACUUUACCCUCUCGAUGAAUGCAGUACGUUCUUGAUGCCUACAGAAUGGGCGACAAGCUGAAGUUCGCCAACCAUUCCCCUGAUCCAAACUGCUACGCCAAGGUCAUCAUGGUAGCAGGCGAUCACAGGGUGGGGAUCUUCGCCAAAGAGCGGAUCAGCGCGGGCGAGGAGCUGUUCUACGACUACCGCUACGAGCCCGACCGGGCCCCGGCGUGGGCUCGCAAGCCCGAGGGGCCCGGUGCCAAGGACGACGCCCAGCCUUCCACCGGGAGAGCAAAGAAGCUCGCCCACUGAAGAAGAAGAAGAAGAAGAAGAUCAGCCGUUGAUUCUUUUGUUGUCUUGGUUGAUUCUUUCGUUAUUGGUGAGGGGGACCGAGAACUCUGACGGUGAUUAGCGCCGUAAGGAAAACUUUCCUGCCAUUCGUUGGCCCCCUCGAUUCGAUUCGUUGAUUUUCCCUGAAUUCUGUAACUGCUGCACCUGUCGCCAGUUCAACUUCAAAAGAUUUUUCUGAUUCUGGAUCAGUUGUUGUGUUCUUAUGUGUUACUUUUCGAAAAUACAAUCACCAUCUAAAAUGCAUGCAUGACACUGUUGACUUUUCGGAUAACUUUGGCCCAUUCAUCUUAUAUAAAUAUAUAAAAGUAUAAAUAGUUUUUUAUUGAUAAAACAAAUCAUAACAAAAUAAAUGAUAUUUAUAUUUUUUAAUAAAAUAAAUGAUCAAAUGUUUUGAAUAAGGUUAACGGAGGAGAUUACCGAGUUGUUUCCUUCGUGAAAAGUCGGCGAGAGCUGGAAGCCAGCGAUGGCUGGGAAUGGCGUGGUGGCGUUGUUGCCAAGGGCCCACAUACCAUACACCGUGCGAACGCCGCGGCAAAGCUUGAUGCGAGGCUUGUUUAUCUCGUCUAGCAGUAGCAGGCAUGGGUAGGGUCAAUGGGCUAAUCUGCGUCCGGCCUAUCCUGAGGCGUUGUUUCAAAAGAUCUAUACAACAAAACUAACACUCCGUUUUGUAUUAUAAAACGCUUUGAUUUUUUUCAAACCUUUUUAAGUUUGAUCUUUGUAAAAAAUUAACAUCUUAAUAUCAAAUUAGUUUAAUUAAAUUUAACAUUAAAUAGAUUUUGAUAGUAUGAUUAUUUUAUGUUUAAAAUAUUAUAAUGUUUUUUAUAAACUUUGUCAAACUUCACGAAGUGACUUAAAUUAAAGUUAAAUCGUCUUAUAAUAUAAAAUGGAAGGAAUAAAGAGUAUAUUACAUUUGUUGUACACAAAUUUAUUUAGGUGGGUAUAAUUCUAUAUAUGAACUUAUUAUGAAACAUUCGCUGUAAUACACGAACUCGACAUGGUCAGGGUGGCGAGGAGCUCCGAGUGAUGGCAGAUGGACUCUCCAUAGAUCGACCCCCUGUGAUGGUGCGGGAAGGUGCAAGGGUGAGCAGCCACACCGUACGCCGGUGAAGGAGCUCCUUUUCCUCUUCCUCCUCCUCUUCUUCUUCCUCCUCCUCCUCCUCUCUCUGCCCUUCCCUUCUCGAUGAACAAAGGAGCCGAAGUUGCAGCCUGUGAGUUAUAUCCCUCCUUCCCCGACCACUACUACUUUCUGUCCCUCCAUCCCCAGCUCCCUCCCUCCCUCCGCUCCCUUGACAUGGAUUGGAGAAGGAGCAAGGUGCUCGCAGCGGACGCAGGGCUCAAGCUCCUCCACGUGCAACUAGCCUCGGUAGGUGAAACCUCUCUCACUUUAUCGAUGCUCAGCUCCUCCUUGCCCCCAACCCUUCUCACUACCGCUCAGUCGACGUUGACCGCCUCCUUUGCUUCCGAAUAGACCACCUCUUCUGCCACCAACCUCCAUCUUAUUUAGAUCUCAUUGGCUUCGACAUAGCCUAGGCAGAGCUCCUAGAUGUCGAGGCAACAAAGCUCGGGGCUCGCGAGGAAGGCGGAGCUUGGUGGCAGUCUGACGAGAUCCCAUGGAGAGCGAACCCGUUGAGUUCUGGUGAGAUCCGUUACCCUUGAAGCCUUAUGGAGCUUUGCCUCUUGUUGGCGCCGUCCUUGAAGCCUUGCCAAGGCCUGCCUCUCACCAACACCGCCAUUGAAGCCUCAUCGAGCUCUCUUACCAACGCCGAUCUAAAGCUUCACCUCUAUCGGCUUCGGCUCAGCGACGGAGGCCACACCAUGGGGAAGAGGGAAAGAGGGGACACAAAGCAGAAAGAAGAUGUAAGUAGCAAUGACAGGUGGACCCUCUCUCUUAUGCAACCAAUGUGGAUCUAUUGUAUAGGUCAAUAGGUGGCAUCCACGUGUAGUACAAUCACCGUAAAAUAGCUCGAAGGUGGUAAAUCAUCUUAUACUAAUAGUUGGCGUAUCAUAUCUGGUUUUAUAAUUUCUAAGUAUAUUUUAGACCACCAUACGAUUUCAAGAGAGUAAAAUGGAUAAUCCCCCAUAAUAAAUCUCACUAGUUGUGUGAUAUAGCGGCGUAUGGACACUAACAAAACAUUAAUGCAGCCAAAGCAACCCCCCAUCAUAUCUCUCUUGGCCCCCCAUGAUAUAUGAACAGAAGUUACAGAACAGUAGCAGUGGGGGUACACCCUAUACCCUCCCUGGGGGACCUCUGAAUACUUCGAUCAGAGUAACGGUGCGGUGCCAAACUGAUCAGAUCACACACUUCAGACUACAGUCAAACAGAGCCCUUGCUUGCUUUGCUUGUGUCUUCAACUUCAGAGACCCCCUCCUACCCUCAAAAAAUUUCCCCUUUCUUUUCCUCCGUUUCUUGCAGCGACAAGAGAAAUACUAAUACUCCUCCUCCUACUACUGCUACUGUGCAAGGGGAAGGACACGACGACGAAUUGGAGAGCGGCGUCCUCUCUGAUCCUUUUUUUUCCUUUAUUGCAUCUCUCUCUCUCUCUCGCCAUUUUUCUUCUAGGUUGGUCUCUGGAUCAGGCCAUUGAGGGGGAAAGAAAAGGUGCGGGUUUUGGGGGGAGGUUGUUCUUGCGGGAGGCCGUUGAUUUCGCCGUGUGAUCGGAGGUGAGGUUCCCAGAAAAAAGGUUUACAAUCCUUCUUGUGUUUUUCUAGCCUAGUAGUUCUUGGUUCUUGGAUGCUAGUACGCGUGUCCGUCAUCUUCUUGUUCUUUGUGUGCGCCUUCCGAGGAUUUUUAUUUUCCUUCCCUUUGUUAUUUAAUGGUGUCAGUGGAUUAGGUUUAUGUGUAUCUGUGUUAGUCAUCUCAGCUCAGCUCAGCUCAGCCUUGUUGCUUUCACUGACUGACUGUACUUACAUUUGUUUAAGUGAGAUUAGGUCGAAUAAAUUAGUAGGAUUCCCUCAAAAGAACCAUCUUUUGUGGAGUUAGGUGGAUUUGGUGCUCAUCCGUGCUACUUUCUCACCCUAGAAGCUUUUGUUCACCACCCAGAUUUUGGUCUUCAGGGAGUGAAAAGGAGAUGAAUGAGAAGGACGCCACUGAUUUGGAGGAGAGGAGUGAGGCCAGUGAGCACGGCCAAGCUCUGAGUUUCCAUGGUGGUGCCAUGUUCUUGCAAGAGGCUCAGAUUGCUUCUCCUGCAGCUGCAAAUAAUGCAUUGACCUCCAUGGCGAAUCCUUUCCCUAUCCCUCCUGGGUUGUGGAAUCCACCUUCACACAACAUGGGUUUAGGCGAAACCAGUUUUUCAUCCUUGUUGGGGAUGCUGUCGGCCGGCGCGCCGCCACCGUUUGUGGCUACUCCCGGGUUUGUAGAUUCCACGGCGGGGUUUCCUUGCUACAAUGGAGGCAAUCUUGGAGCCAUGAUCAAUCACCCUUUCCCUGGUAUCCACCAGCCUUUGGGUGAUUUCCAAAACGGCGUCGAGCCAUGUAGGGAGAUUGAGGAUAUUGAGAUUGAAGGAUCCAAGAAUGUGUCACAAACUGGUGAGAAGCAGCAAGGGGAUGGUGAGACAACGCAUGCCGUCGAUUCCUCCUCCAAGGAGCUAAGCAUGCCAGGGCGCAAUGGUGGCGCUGGCCAUGAUGAGGGGACUAGGGUGUCUUGUUCCAAGAAGAGGAAAAGAUCAGGACAGGUAUUUGCUUGAUGUACACAUAUUUACAGAGCUGAAUCUCCGCAUAUUUAGGUGGAGCUAAGAAUAUGAAAUUUUCUUGAUUCUUGAAGGAUGGUGGGGUGAAGCAUGCAGAAGGUGGUGAGCAAUUAGCAACUGUCGGUUCAGCGCAGAAGAAUGAGGAUGAUGAAAAGGGUGAACCAAAGAGGUCUUCUGUGGCGUCCGGGAAAUCCAGUGGGAAGCAAAUAAAGGAUAAUGCAGGUUCACCAAAGGAAGACUAUAUACAUGUAAGAGCACGGCGCGGUCAGGCUACAAACAGCCAUAGUCUUGCCGAAAGGGUAGGUCCUUUUUUUCUUCUCUCUAAUGAUCUCUUCAUAAAAUGGUGUAUCUAGCCAUCUGGUUUGACUGUUAUUGUUCGGGAUGCAGGUUAGGAGGGAGAAGAUCAGUGAAAGGAUGAAAUAUCUUCAGGAUCUUGUUCCUGGUUGUAGUAAAGUAAGUGCUUCCUAACUGUCCCCUGCCUCCAUACUGAAUGACUGUUAAUCUGUUAUGACAUCAAUUGUGAAAUGUAAUCUAGGUAACUGGUAAGGCUGUUAUGCUGGAUGAGAUAAUUAACUAUGUUCAAUCAUUACAGAGGCAGGUUGAGGUAUGAUGUUUGUAAAACUUGUAGGGCCAUUUUCAGUUUUACUUGCAUAGUCCUGCUGCGAUGUAAUCUGGUAUACCCAAUGUGUGCAUGUUGGGCAGUUUUUGUCGAUGAAGCUAGCAAGUGUCAAUCCAACACUGGACUUCAACAUAGAACGCAUUUUAUCUAAAGAUGUAAGAUAGUUCUCACCUGGUCUUUAUAGAUUUUGACCCUUUAGAUUUGUCUUUCUCAUGAUGAUUGUUUCAUCCACACAGAUUUUUCAAUGUCGAGGCACUACUGCAUCAUCUGCCUUUGGCUUCUUCCCAGACAUUGUUCAUCCCCGAUUACACCCACCAAAAUAUACACAAGUUGGGAUGCCCAGCAUUGUGAACCCCACUGAUGCAUUUGGAAGAGUAAUCCAUGCUCCAUUAGGAACUAACAGUGCAUUCAAAGAACCUAAACAUCAGGUUUGUACCAUCACUUGCAUUUGGCUAAAUGGCCAUUUUCAUUUCAUGCUCUUUAUACCAAAUACUGUGUUCAUGAAAAAUAGGACAAGUUUCUGCAAGAUGUUCCAAGACCUAAUUUAGUGUUAUAUGGCUUGGUGUUUCGAGAAUACUGCUCCACAGAUAGUCGUUGAAAAGAAUGUCCACAUAAUAUUUUAAACCAAGAAAAGCUAGUCCCCUUUAUAUCCUUUUGCUGGGUCUUGCUUCACUACCCAUCUUUCCAAAAAGUUCGUGGGUCUUAAAAGCAAAGCAAACUAGAUAACAUAACUAAACUGAGACAUUUUAGACAACAAACAAAAUUCCUACUAUCUGUUUUUCAUAACUAGCCAGAUUGUGCCUGAUUCUUUUGGCCAUGCAAGCUGUUUGAACCUAGUCCAUCAAUCAGUCUCUUUAGCUUCUGACUCAUUAACCCUCUUCAACCUGAUUUUAGUGGGAAGAGCAUUGUUGAUGUUAACCGACAUUGUAACCUCAGUAGCACUAACCAUUUCACUAGUAAACCAACUAAAAAUGUACAAAUGCAGCUUGUUAUAUAUCUAAUUGUAUCUUCAUCACUACAUAUUUGCCUUCACAGUUAUCUAAAACAUAUGCUUUCAUAUUCAUAAACAUUUUUUUGGAAAGCGGAGUACCAAAGCACUGUUUUAGUAUUUUGCAAUCCUCUUAUUACUUGUGCAUUGGACAGAUGCCCAACAAUUUGAAUGGAGAGUUCCAGGACGUCAUUGAGAUGCCUUUUACUCAUGACCAUCAUGGAUCAAAUGAUCAACCCUGAGAUUGAUUCCACAACUGAAGCAAGAGAUCAAUAUGUGCCAUGGGCUUUCAGCAAAACUGUGAUAUAUGAGCAUGUUGAUAUCAUGGUACUAGCUCACAGCUGAUCACUGAAGUAUAAGCAUCCAAAAUGCUUAGUUAGUGCUAUUUUUCUCAUGUUCAUAGCAGCAAUUGACCUCCUGUGGAAGCCUCUCUUUGGAUGUUCCAUUUGCUGUUAUAGAAAGUUGGGAGAUAAAAAAAAAAGGAUGUUCACAUGGAGAUCUCAAGCAAUUUGUUCUCCACUGAAGUAGUCUACAGUCUUGAAAUGGCGAGAAGCUUCAUUUUGCAAGAAGGUGAUUUUUCUGUGGUCUCGUCAACCCCAGGAUUAUUACAUACACUAGCUAGCAUUGUGAGGCUACAGAAAUUGUUCUUUGUUGUACUUGCUUAGCCCAUGUUCCAUCUGACAAGCAACAUAGGCAGAAAUGCAGUCACUGAUUUUGUAUUUGUUGAAAAAAAAAAUAAAUGGGCUUGGCCUGAUGUAGCAAGCAUUUGAAUUUUGCAACGGGUGCAUAUUGGCACAGAUGUUUUUAUUCCAGCAAAGCUGUGAAUUCUGAAAGAGAAGAAAAGAGAACUGUGAUCUAGUGUUACUGGUGACCUUGUGUCCUUGUUAAGACAUAAUUCACUACACACUGGUAUUGGUGACCUUGUGAAGCGAUAAUCAUCUGAUCUGAAGCUGAUGGUCAUGGCAAAAGCAGCCAAGGAAAUUAAUCUCAUGAAACUCUUGCUCAUUGUUUCACUGAAUCUGAUAAAACAUGACAUGGCACGUUUCUGAAGCAAUCUGAGGUCUGAACACUACAUUUUUGCUGCAUCUAUAUGCAAAUAUUUCUUUCUCCAAGCAAAAACACCAAUCCACAAAAGACAAUUUCUGAAACAAAUUAUACAUACAUGAAGAAAAAGAAACUACUACCUAUGUCAAAGAGCAUAUAAUCUUCCCCUGCUAUAACAACAUGUACUAGCUACAUUGCAUCUGCAGUGUUCUUUCUUUUCUUCUUCUCUUUUCCCUGUGAACUUGUUCAGUAUAGUUACAAGACCAAACCAAAUACACCAAGCCCAUAUGAUGUAGUUCUAGUAGUUACAGCCAAGAACAUGGCAAGAAACUAUGGAGAUGAAGAUGAAGAUGAUAUGCUACAACUCGACGGAGACGUAGGUGGCGGAGUAGUCCGGCAUCCGGUGCAGGCUCCGGAGCACGCUCUCGGCGACCUGCUUCGUCGCGGCGUCGCCCUUGUGGAACGCGCUCACCAGCGCGCUCGGCAGCGCGCGGUCCGCCGUCACGUCGCGCACGCACCGCUCGCCGCCGUGCGCCAGGAACCUCUCCACGGCCCAGAAGCAGCGCCGCGACACCGCGCCGGCGGUGUCGCCGCCGACGUCACGGUGCUGCCGCAGCGCGCGCAGGACGUGCCGCGCGGCGUCGUGCUCGGCGAGCACGGCCACGCCGCGUUCCACGUCGACGGCGUCGUCCAUGAGCGUGCAGAGCGCGCCCAGCACGGCGUCGACCACGCGGCCGUUCUCGUUGCUCUCGAGGACGCCGACGAGGGCCUCCACCGCGCCGGCCUCCGCCAGGCAGAACGUGGUGGCCGGGGAGCACACGCCGCGGUGCACCGGGCAGAGGCGUCCCUGCGCCGGCGGCGGUGGCGGCUUCCGGUUGUUGUCGUGCACCCGCCCGGUGUGCGCGUCGCGCAGGCGCCGGAGGAUGUUCUUCUUCUUGGGGCGCCGUUGCUCCUCUGAUGGCGGCUGCGAGAGGUUCACCGACUGGUGGCUAAGGUUCUCGAGGCCGACCGCCGCGAGCCGCUGCACCUCGUCGCUGCCCGCUGACCGCACGAGCAGAUCGGUGAGCACCGCCGUGAAGUUGUGAUCCAUGGCCGCCAGGAGCACGUCGGGGUCGUACAGCGUCAUCGUCAUCCGGACGAGCGCGCCGACGAGGCCCUCCAUGUACGUCUUGGCAUGGCGGCUCACUCGCAUUUCGCCGCGCUGCAUCUCCUCUAUCUUGGCCAGCAACGUCGGCACUGCUCCCUGCUCCAGCAGCGCCAGGUUGAGCGUGAUGUUCUGGUACGGCAGCCUCGCCAGCAGCGUCGCCGCCACGGCGUGCCGUUCGGUGACACGCCCGGGCUGGCCGAUGCUCUUCACCAGCCUUCCCGGCUGCCCUGGCGCCUUGCAGAGCUUCUCGGCAAUGGUGUGCCCCAUCUGAGGAGACAAUGCAAUGAGCAGCCUCGUCGCGCUGAUGCCUAACGCCUCCGUCUUCGAGCCCAUGAACUCGAUCACGGUCAGGCUGCUGUCCUGCUCCUUCAUGACGGACACCACCGUCAUGAGCGGCUUUGGGAGCGCAGUGAGCGCGAGCAGCACACGUAUGAUGCUCAGGUUGAGAUCAUCAGGCAUGGAGCACUUGAGCAUGUGGGUGAAGUUGUACACCGAAUACUUUGAAGUGAUGACAUGGCCUUCCUUGUUGACGACGAUGGUGUCGGGAUCGAGACCGGACUCGACGAUGUUGGCGAGCACUGCAGCAGCCUCUGUCUUGGACCCCAUAGGCUCGUCGUCGAUCUUGCGGAUGAAGAGCUCCUCCACCAUGACCGGAACAGCACCGGCGUCGACGAGAGUCUUGCUGUUGGGGCCAUCUGAGGAGAUCUGGACAAGGACAUCAAGGGCCGCCUUGCGGAUCACAGUGUUGCCGCUAUGCACCAUCUUGAUGAGGAUCUCUGAAGCACUCCCAGCAAUGUUGAUGGUCAUUUCCUGCUUCUGGACCAGCUCGCCGAGGUAGCUCACCAUCUCCAUUUGAACAUCUUCAGACCCUGUUUUAUAUGGUGUUUCAUGUCAGGUAAUGGACUAAUGGUAGUGUCAUGGUGUUAAGUUCACGCUAGCGAAUUUCAUAUUAGUCAUCAGAGCAAUAUUACUAUAUCUAGUUAUAACUGCUUGUUCUUUGUUAAUGUUCACCCUGUACUGAAGUACAUGUAUUCAGAAAUUGAUUGAUCUAAUGUUAAGCACACUAUUUACACAAAUAAAUAAGUUCUCUAUUAAUAGUCCACGAUGUUGACUUUUGGCAAUAUAAACUUCCUUAUUUGAUAUUAUAUAUGAUAAUUAACACAUCAAAGAAAGUCGUGUAUCUUUCUGCAUAGGCAAAAUUUUUACCUUCCACUAAAUGUCUUUGGAGAGGAUCCAGGUAACCACUUUCAGCCAUGUACUUAAUGUUCUUUGGGCAGUUCUCCAGGUUCUUGAGAACCUCCCCAGCCUUCUCUGCAGCAACCGGAUCAUCUGAAUCAUUGAAUUUCAUUGUGGUAAGCAUCAAUAUGCUUCCAGAAGUUGAUCCGAUGUUUUCCAACAAUAGCUCCGAUUUCGAAAGCUCUAGCAAGAAAGAGAUGGCUGCAUGUCUUUCAUCAGGACUAUUACUAGAAAGCAGCUUUAUUGUUCUUGUAAUGGCUCUGGUAUUUGCUAUGACUUCCUGUACGUCAUGAAGGCAUGAAGAAGAAUUUCAGUUUUGAACAAACACGCAGGGUAAUUGUUUCAGCAUUUAAAUAAGUUUCACACAACCAGGCCAGCGAAAACAUUGAACAUGAUAAGGGUCAAAACGUUUCAGGCUUCCUUACCUUUCCUGUUUCAUCCUCAGCCAAUAAGCAAAGGAGAUCCAGCGAAUCACAGCGUAUCAGACCAUCCUUGUGCUCCAACAAACGAGGGAGGAACUUAGUUAUCCCGAUUUUGUGCAUCUGUUCCCUGUUCUUUCUCCUUAUCUUGGCCAGCAGCUUCAGCUCUUGUAUGGCCUCAAGCAACAUUGCCUCUGUGGAAGCCAUGGAGAGCGCGGUUCGUGCAAUCCUGACCCUUGUGGCUUCAUUUCUCAUAAUCCAUUCUGCAAUUGUGCUCUUCAGUGGAACAUUGCUCCUCAGUGCCUUGCUUUGCAUCGACAUCUUUGUCACAGGGCAUACCACAGGUUCAGAACCAUCAGCAAAUUUCUCAAAGUACUCCUCAAUGGCUUUCCUAUCAUAUGUCACACCACUUUCUGUUGUCACUGGAUCAACCAUGACCUUGUUUGUCAAUGGACAGAAGAACGAAUCAUAUAAUGGCUCGACAUAUUCUGCAACUUCAGGGAGCGAAUUGAAUGAAUGUGCACCGAUAUCAUGUGAUUCAUGGUACAUUCCCUGCAGGAAGUCCACCAGCCUUGGCAUGUCACUAUUGUGCAAUGUUCUUCUCCGGGGCCUGCUGUUUGCCGGGAUUAUCGACAUAUCGGCCUCAGAGUAACCAUCGCAGGAAUUCUGGUCACAAUAACGCGGCCGAUGUCCUGCAAUCUGAAGGUUUGCAUCUGCUCUGCCAUCUGGAAACCUGCUGCUACCAAAUGUUGAAGCAGGUAUCCUGCUGAGCUCAUGCCCAAUGUUCUUUAUGACACUGUCAAGGUCCUCGGUCAUGCCCAGGAGGUCAUCGUUCUUGAGCUCCCGCGCAACGGCGCUGCACCUCAUGACGAGGUCCUUGGCGAGGUCGACAUUGGCAGCCAGAUACUCCAUGACGUGCAUCACAUUAACCGUCGAAUUCUGCACUCUCUGCAGCUCCAUCGUGACCAGGGGUGCAUGGUAGAGGUGGCUGCCUACAUCCAUGAAGUUCUCAUGCUCGGCAUCGGCUGCCGCCUCUGGCGGCAUGAGCUCAGAGAUCGCGGCCUCUAUGGACUCAACGAGUGACGCCUUCCUCGCCUGCGCUCCGCUUCGCUGAACAAGAGUACAUGUCAAUCAGGCACCCAAGCAAAAGCAUCCAAAAACACAGAUAACACACAGACUGUUCUGUUGUGAUGACAACUACAGUCCAAAAUUCAUACAGUCCAAUUAUAAAGCAAUAAUACAGGCUCCCUUGGCUGCAAUCAAUCUGAGGUUGACCCAAGGGGUUGAGUUCUACACAAGCAAAUUGACUUCCCCCAAUUCCAAAUUUUUAACAGUUUGUUCCAAGAACUACUAGCAUCUUAUCUACUGUACAGUGAAAAAAUCACCAGGAAAAUUGAAUAGAGGACACAAAUAACACAAGGGGGGGGGGGGGAGUACAUCAAGAACAGCUUGAUGCACAUUCUACCUGGAAAUCAACAUCGUUUCUCCGUUCCAUCUAACCAAAGUGGCAAAACGUACUACCACCACCAUAAAUUUGCUCACUUCAAGCAGGGUUCGCCAUCUCUAGCGCAAAGACCCCCCAUGAAUCCAUGAUUCCUCGCCUUACCAAAUCACGAAAUACAAACAGAAAUGGCACAAGAACCGAGGAAUUUGCGAAUCACAGCCUCACUACCCACCUUUACAAAAAAAAAAUCCAUGAAAUCUACCGAAAUUUAUGGCAGCACUACGAAUUAGCAGCAAGCGAACAAGCCAGCUUCGUCCCCCCAAAAGAGAGAUGCAGCAAACAGCAAGCUCAACUCCCCCACGCUUACCUGCAUCCAAGAACUCCAAGAACUUGACCGCGCCGCUGCUUCUCCUCCUCACCUUCCGCUCCAAGCUCCUCCUCCUCCUCCCGAGACUGAGAGGACGGAGACGCUACGACUGGGGUAGCAUUCUCCCCUCCUCCACCACCGCCCCCGCCAUGGCCUCCCCACUCCUCAAACUUACAGCGCCACCACCACCCCACCACCGCUCGAGCCGAGGAAUAAUACCACCUCGCUCGCGUAGGGAGGAAGAGACGAGAACAAAAGAGGGAGAGAGGGAGAGGGAAAAAAAAUACGGAGGAAUUACGGAAGAACGCGCAGUGGCAGCGCAGCACGGAGACUCAGUCAAGUGAAGGUCAGUUUGUUAAUCGUUAUAAGCAACCUCUCCCUAAUCUUUUUUUGUUUUUUUUUUCUUGAAAAAUGUAAACCUCCUGUUUUAGACUUUAGAGAUCGGUAAUAAAGCGACGUUUUCUUUUUGGAUGGAUAAACCGAUAAAGCGACCUUUCUUUUAACAACCACCUUUCUAAUGGCGUUUUACCUUGGGAGAUGUUGACUUUUUCUUUUUCUUUUUUUUCUUUUUUGUUUUUACAGUGAUGGUGCUUAGCUUAGCUGCAGGAGUCAAGACUUGCAGUGCACACCAAUGUAUGUGUCAAACCACAGACUAGGCGUUUAAAUUUUUUUAAACUUGGCCCAAAGAUUGUUUUUUACGGCAAGCUUAAGCAGAUGUUUUGUUUAAAGAAGGUGGUUAGCUAUGUGCCAACUGUCAUAAAUUUUUUUAAAGUAUAAACUGAUGGUUUCUUCCCUAUUUCCAAACAGUUUCUAGCUGGUAUGCAAUAUUCGGUCAAAAUUCGGCUGAGUUUGGUUAGACUGGAGGAUGUAAAAUAUAUUUUUGGUUGCUGUAUUAGAUUUUGAGCCUGGGCUACUGUUUAGGGUUAGGGGACUCCCAUGCGAAGGUUAGGCUGAGUGUUUGGGAGGCCUCUCUCCCACACGCAAAACAGUGUAUGCAUUAACUACUUUCUCCAUCUACUUUUGAUACUUAUAUUUUAUCUUGGCACACAGACCAACGAUAAGUAAUUAUACUUAUCAUCCAUUUAAACAUGCUAGUCAUUCCUCGUAAACAAGCGAUUCAUUAAUAUUUACAUUUCUCGAUGCCCAUAUAGCCAAUCUUGUGUGGAAGAAUGGAGAGUCACGUAUUAAAUCCGAGAAAGAUAUUAAGAGGAUAGGUUGUUGGAUUGAAAUAUGCCUAUCAAAAAUAAAUUUUUCAGAUUUGGAAAUAUGACUAUCAAAAGUAUAUGGAGGGAGUAAUUAAUUAAAUAUUAUUUAUUUUGUAAAAAAAUAGGACUAAUAUGAUUGUUUAAAAUAAUUUUUGUAUAUUUUUUUAAAAAAUACACUGUUUAGCAGCUUGAAAAGCGUGCGUAGAAAAUUAGAUAAAUGAGUUGAAAAGGUGGAGAAAAGAGCUCAGCCUUACAAGAUAUUUCUGGUAGAAGAUUUUGUUUGAUUAAUUGGUUAUAUAAAUUUUGAGUUUAUUUAUCUCUUUAUUUGAAUGGUGCGGUUACUCCUACACCUCCAAUAGAUAUAAAUAUAUAUAUCCACAACACUCGAAAUAUAAUGUGAGAUAGUGUGGUCUAUUUGCACUGAACAAGUACUCCUUCCAGUCACAAAUGUAUGAGACAGUGUGGAUCAUGAUAUGGUUACCAAUAUACGGAGUAGUAUUUUAUAAGAGCUACUAUGGGAAAGUUAUAAUAUUUUGAAACUAUUUUUAAGAUAAAUCUAACCAUAUCACUUUCAAAAGUUAGAUCGAAAUAUUUAAAGAGAAUAAUGAUUCAAAUUUAACCAUGUUUACCGCACACAUUCCAAAUCGUCACUUAUUUGUGACCGGAGGGGGAAAGCCUAAAUAUCACAAGGUCACCCUCAUCAUUUCCAUCGCCCUUCGUUGCAAUCACCAUUGAGCUGGUCAAUGCGUUCUUACCACGAGUCCAAGGGUAGGGGUGGGCAUUCAGAAUAACCGAGAAAUUCGGUUCAGUUCCUCAAUCUUUUGGAAAAUUCGGUCUUCAGAAUCACAAUACCGAUCGGUUUUCAUGAAAACUCAAGAACGAGCACUUUGGUCUUCGGUUAGUUCGGUUCGUUCUCGGUCAUAGACCGAACUAACUAUAACAAAAGUUUUAAAAGCAAAAAAAAAUAAAUACUCCAUACAAGAUCAAUGAAUCAAAGCAACUCGCAUGAAAAAGUACAUGAUGCCACUAGAAAAUAGAGCACGAUUCAGAAAAAAAAAGGAAGAAUAUCAAAGCAAAUCGAUAUUGCCAUGACUUGGAUCCUGUCGCUUUCAUCCCCGACCGGCCUCCAUCAUCGAGGUCUCCGGCACAGCCUCUUUCGCCAUCGUGGUGCGGAUAGCCAUGAGCGUCAGGUUACAGCAGGGUCGCCGGAAGGAGCACGAUCUCUUCCGCCACACCAGGCGAAAGGGCGGCUCGGCGCAAUGAAGGUCGUCGCUAGUGGCGCCGUUGCAUCGUGAGGAGGCGGAGGGCGGAGGCGGUGCCGACACGGUGGAGCCUGGAAGCGGCGAGAUGGAGACGGAGGCUGAGCGCGAAUGCACGAUGGAUGGAUGCGGCGCUGAAGAUGAGAUAAGGAUGCGGGAGAUAGGGUGGCUAAUUUACAGGGUUUAGCGUUUUACUGGGCUUAUUGGUCCUCCUAGAUCUAUUGGGCCACAAUUCGGUUUUCUCGAUUAAAUUUGGUCUUUUGAUGGCUGGGACUGAACUACUAACUAAAUUUCUCAGUCUUGGUCUUUUCAAUUCGGUCUAAUGCUGCCCGCCCCUACCCAAGGCAACUAAAUCUUUUCAACGUCAAGCUUCUUACUGUUUAAGAAGUUACAUACUUUCUCUGUCAAAGAAACAAUUCUUGAAUUGAUUUGUUUUAUUUUUAGGACAGAUGGAGUACGCGUGAACUAUAUAGUUGUGUUUGCUACAUACAUUUUAAAUCGUUAUUUAUUUGUGACCGUUAUGGCUACUGAUCGGUCGUAGGUCUUGCUUCUGUUGGGCCUAGAGUCGGUCAAGGUAAUGCUGCAGGGGUGGUUGCAUAAGACAGUUGGUUUGAUGCAACUAUGGGUAUGUUUAGUUCCACGUCAAAAUUGGAAAUUUGAUUGAAAUUGGAACGAUGUGAUGGAAAAAUUGAAAGUUUGUAUGUGUAGAAAAGUUAGAUGUGACAUUUUAGGGUUCAAAGUUUGGAACUAAACCGGGCCUAUAUUUGGGAGAGAAUUUUAAGAAUCAUAUAUGGGCUGUGUUUAGUUCAUACUGAAGUUUGGAAGUUUGGAUGAAAUUGGAACGAUGUGACUGAAAAGUUGUGUGUGUAUGAAAGAUUUGAUGUGAUGGAAAGUUGGAAGUUUGGAAAAAAAAACGUUGGAACUAAACGGGGCCAUGGUCAUAGUACCUACAUGGUCUCUCAAAAAGUGGGAAAUGAUUGAAUAACAAACGAUUUAUUGAAAUUUUGUAACUCCAUGCAGGAAAUGGUCCACGUUUUCUUUGAAAUUGAGAGCCGACACUUCCCUUUCUAUGAAAUUUAUGCAAGAUGUCAUGCACCAAAACAGCAUGAUAACUGUUUGCACAUUAUUCAUCAUUAGCUCUACCCUUGGCCUGAUCAAAAUAUGAUGGAGGUUGAAGGAAAACAUUAUUCAUCAUUAGCUCUACCCUUGACCUGAUCAAAAUAUGAUGGAGGUUGAAGGAAAAGGCUAGCUACUACUACUAGAGAUCGAGUAGAGACAAAAUUAUAGCAGUAGUAUUUUUUGAGUUGUCACUCACCCUGAUUGUUCAUGAGUUCUUCAAUAUCACGUCUCGGUCUUUUAAUUCUGCUCCAUUUCCCUCAUCAUGAAGGCGUCUAGGCAUUGAUGGCCUCAGGCUGCUGCUAAAUCACUUUGGGAAAAAAAAAAAGCCAGGUAUGUUCCCUUCAAACUUCUAAAAAUUCCAUUACAUUAAAUAUUUGGACACACGUGCAUAGAGCAUUAAAUAUGGAUGAAAAAAAUCAAUUGCACAGUUUAUAUGUAAAUUGCGAGACGAAUCUUUUGUGUCUAAUUACGCCAUGAUUUGACAAUGUGAUGCUACAGUAAACAUUUGCUAAUAACGGAUUAAUUAGGCUUAAUAAAUUCAUCUCGCAGUUUACAUACGGAAUCUGUAAUUUGUUUUGUUAUUAGUCUAUGUUUAACACUUCAAAUAUAUGUCCGUAUAUUUAAAAAAAAUUGGCAUACGAAAUAAACACGGCCACCAUCAAGAACUGGUCCAGUGGAAGCUCAUUAAUAAGUUUUCUGAUCUCGGUCUGAAUUUUGUUAGGUGGUACUACUACUCCUAAUUAAGAAAGCCAGUGAUCAAGGGCACCUUGGUAGUACCAGUUUGUUAGGGCAACAAAAUGUUGCUGAGAUUUCUUUUGCAUUGUGUUAGAAUUCUACGCCAUUAAUUCUUAACUAACAGUACUUCAUUAGCUGUACUUCUUGGUAGUGUUAGAAGUACAAUACUAAGCAUGUACCCUAGCUCUCCCGGUUAACGCAGAGCACGUUAAAUAUGAUAGUAUCAACUUGUUAAUUAUAUCUAUAGUGUCUCAAUAUAUAUAUUUUUUGACUUGCAAUAAAAUAAAUCAACACUUUUUGUAUAAUAGAAACAUUCAGGCCUCUACAUCCAGAUGUGUACUUGAAAAAUCCAAAAAAAAAAAACAAUAGAUUAUUUGCAUGCUAUCAUGAUUCUUUAACACGUUAUAAAUUAAAGAAUACUUCCUCUGUUCUUUUCUUGUAUUGAACUAACCAUCGUUAUAUAUUAAAAGAUAGAGAUAGUAUAAUAUAUAAAGAUUAACGCGUCUAUUUUUAUUUUAACUAGAAUAUGAGCAAAUUACAAAUAAAAAUGACAUAUUCGCUCCUUACCAUUACAAAUGACUACUAUGUUCUUUAAAAAUAUAACUACUGUUGACAGUUAGAUUUGGUACAAAUUUAGGGUGUGUUUAGUUCACGCUAAAAUUAAAAGUUUAGUUGAAAUUAGAACGAUGGGAUGAAAAAGUGAAGUUUGUGUGUGUAGGAAAGUUUUAAUGUGAUGAAAAAAAUUGAAAGUUUGAAGAAAAAUUUUAAAACUAAACUCUGCCUUAGAAAGGAGUCAGAGCCUUUUCGCAAAGGUCGGUCGGACAACAAUUCAUACCACGGUCUGACUGGAUGCCUUGUGAUUUUUUUUUGUGGGGAUCUGACCAGUUGCCUACUGCAGUUGACCAAGGGUUUGUUUAGUUUCCAACUUUUUUCUUCAAAUUUUUAAUUUUUCCGUCACAUCAAACUUUCCUAUACACACAAACUCUCGAUUUUUCUGUCACAUCGUUUUAAUUUUUUUAAACUUUUAUUUUUGGCGUGGAACUAAACACAGCCCAAUAUGGUUUAACCAGCAGCCCCGAGUUUUAGGCUAAGGCCUUGCUUAGAUUCCAACUUUUUUCUUCAAACUUCAAACUUUUCCGUCACAUCGAACUUUCUUACGUACACAAACUUCUAACUUUUCCGUCACAUCGUUCUAAUUUCUUCAAACUUUCAAUUUUGGCGUGGAACUAAACACAGCCUAAUUGCCUUUUGUUUGUGUGUGUGUUUUCUCGCUUGGGAUUGGAUUUCUCAAAUCUUAAUGUAUAUCUCCAAGCCUAAUAGAGCUGUUUCAAGAGCAAAACCGGCCUCCGAAAUACAAUUGGCAAGCUUGAUCUUGACCCUGUCUAGCAAGCUCAUCCAUUACCAUGCUAGCUAGAAUGCACUAAACCUUGCUCUGAUUGAUACAACUCAGCACAGAUCAUUCUUAGCAGCGCUGGUAGAAUAUUCAAAAUAAAACCGUAGAAUCAUUCUAAUAUGUCCAUAAAAUAAACAAAUUAAAGCAUAAUUGCAUGGUAGAAUCAUUCAGAUUUCUGUAAGCACAAAUUAAUGUGUAAGUUCUCAACUCGAAAUGCAGUGUACACGUACUAUAUAUAAACUUAAACAUCAUAUAUCGAUGGAGAUAGCUAGCUACUCCUAGAUACGUACGGAGGAGUUAAUUAAUCUGAUUGGGGGCAAAUUAAAAUCAUUGGCAUGAUUGUUCGUUGUUGGAACAUGGGCACCACAUGCAAUUGAUGAUCUGAUAGCAAUCCAUAUAACCGUGUAGAUAUCUAGCUAACAGGGGUUUAAUCAACCGCAGGCCGGUACAGAAUUUAAAAUAAAUCAAAUUAGCAAUGUGGUCAUCUAAUCUCUGGACCCUGGCAAGACAUAUAUUUAAUGAAUCAAUGGGGUCACGAAGAAAUGGAGUACUGUGCCUGUAUGUGAUCUUAAAAUGAUGUUUGGGGAGCACGGAAAGCAUGCAUGUUUGGAACACAUGAAUAUGAAUGAAUGAAUAGUAGUACAAGUAAUGGCCUUGUCGCCAAAAAUGACUCAAACCGUACCAUUUCAUCUGAAACUAAUGCAAUUUAAUGGUCGGUGGUUUAUUAACUCAUCGAGCAAAUUUUCUGUCCAAGGGCCCGGAGUAUAUAUUGUUAACAUUUCAAAACCCAAUACAAGGAUUUUUGCAGGACUGGAACUCUUGUUAAUUAUGGCGGAAUAGGAGAUUUAAUUUCCAUGUAAAAUCUUGUCGAUUUCUCCAAAAUUUGUGUGUGCAAGUUCAACAAUCCAGUUGAAAAUUGAUCUCAUAUGUUGUCUAUACUCUUUUAAAAGUAAAUAAUCGUGGUGAUGAGUGGCGAAUCUAUCACCACUCUCAUCGAAAAAUGAAGCUAGAGGGCUCACAUGUCAUUGCACGACAAAUUCUUUACUUUUGUGGAAAGGAAAAAUGAUUGUCUGAAAUUAGAUGGCUCACAUAUCAGUAACAAAUAAAUGUCGAAACUAAGAGAUGAUAUAUACAUAUACAGAAAAUGAUAAAAUGAUACUAAUAACGGAUUAAUGACCUAUUGUAACACAUGUGCAAUAUGGUAGUAAUUUUAAAAUAUUACUGACAAGUCGAUUUAUGCUAUAAUAAAUUUUGGUACUGCCAUUUUUUUAAAGUUUCCUCAACUAUAUUAAGUCAAUACUAGAGAUACUAUUGAAAUUACCAAGUGUUCACUGUUCCAUAUUUUAUUACUAGAUGUUUUGGGUUGGUCUCAAGUCAGAAAUUUUAAGUUUGAUCAGGCUUAUAAUUCUUUUAGCAGCAUUUGUAAACAAAAACAAAUAUACUAUAAAAUAUAUUAAAUGGUGGAUUUAAUAAAACUAAUUUAGUGUUAUAGAUAUUGCUAUAUAUACUUUUUAUGAAUUUAGUCAAAGAAGUUUGACUUAAAAUUAAAAAACAUCUUAUAAUAUAAAAUGAUGGAGUAUAUUUUUAGCAACUUAUGUUUUGGUGUUAAAUCAAAUCAGCAUUGUGUCAAGCUCUAUACGCUCAUAAAUAUUUGACAUUACGAUAAGAUUUGGUAAAACUUUUGAAGCUUUGGCCCAUUAACAAUUUCCCAAAUGCUUAGUUUAAUUCAUAAAAAAAGAUGUAUGUAUGGAUUUGCCUUAAAAAAAUACUAACAUAAUGACAUAAAUUUAUUGUUUCAUUCGUUUCAAAAUAUAAAUUAAAAAAUAUAUUAGUACAUAAGUAUUUUUAGGCACAGAUUCUAAUACACGAGAAUCUAUAUAUUUUCAGCUAAAAUGAUAUGCUUAGGUAGGUAAUUUAAACAAUUCAAUUUGACCACUAAGUCGAUUAAAAGAUAACAUUUUUUCUCUAUCUUAGUUUUUUGCUAAAAAUCAUAGAAAUGGUUAUAUUUUUAACAAAGGGAGUAGAUUUUGUAAACUCGUUUCAAUAUAAAAUUGAUGGUUAAAGCUAUAAAAAGUUUGACUAAUAAAUCGGAUCAUUGGAAGCGAAAUAUAUAUAUUGAAGCUGAAAUUCGUUUGUCAUGGAUCGGAGCUGACCGUUGCAAAUUCUCUAUCUGAAAGCGUUCAUUCGAAUUUGAGUAGCUAGAAACAGAGGGAAGGGUACUUUAUUAUCAGGCUUACCCAAAUUAAGUCGAGACAAGAACAGGAAGUAGACGGAGAAGAAGAUGGCCGGAGAGUGGAGACACCGGGAAAAAUACAAAGGACGAGCUACCGCCGCCGGCCAGCACAGCGCCGCAAUGUACUGGACCAGCGCGAGGCGACGAGCACAGCGAACGACGGCGUACCUUUUUUGUUUGGGAACUCGUCCCGGAUUCUCUUAAGAUUUGGAGCAGCUCCGUCAAAGUUUAAUAGCAUAGCAACUGUUGAAUUAAAUUUAAAAAUAUAUUGUUCAUUCAAUUUUUUCUCAUGAAUAUUCGGGAUGCAAAUUUUUUUUAUAAAUAUACCGUCGAUCUCGCACAACCGUUGCGCGAAACCGAGAUGGGUGUGACGUCAUGGGCGGUAUCGCGCGUUGAAAGUGCGAGAGCGCACGGUCUCGCGCGGCGAAGGCACGAGAGCACGCGGUUUCGCGCAAUGGAAGAGCGAGACCGUUCGGUCUCGCGGAAUCAAACAGCGAAACUGUUCACCGGUUCCAUUUAAUUAGUGCUUAAUUACUUAAUUAGCAAUUAACUAAUAAUGAUUAGUAACUAAUUAUCCUAAUUAGCGACUAAUUAAUUAUUAAUUAAUAGUUAAUCAAGAUAAUUAGUCGCUAAUCGAAUCAGCAUGGCACCGGUCUCGCUCAGUGCUUGUGCGAGACCGUUCUGUCUGGCUGUACCAUUCCACGAGACCGCGCCGUCGUCCCGCGAGACUGCGCGGUCUCGCGCCUUCGCCGUGCGACACCGCCCACAACGUCAUUUCCACGUCAUUCUCGCGCAACGAUUGCGCGAGAUCGACUAUAUUUACGCAAGAAAUUUUACAUCCCGAAUAUUUGUAAGAAAAAAUUGAAUAAACAGUAUAUUUUCAAAUUUAAUUCAGCAACUGUCGACAAUAAAUUGUGUGUCAUAUCAUUUUAAAAAUGUACACAAAAAUAGAGCAUAUAAUAGUUAACUAUUAACACAAUAAGGGGGUGUUUGGGAACUAGGGACUAAAUUUAGUCCCUCUCACAAAAGCAUAAGUCCCUAUGUGAGAGGGAUUAAAGUUUAGCCCCACUUUAAUCCCUCCAACCAAACACCACCUAAGCAAUACACAUAUUUUACUAAUACAUUUUAAACAAAAUCUCUCUUUCCAUACACAAUACUCAAUCCCAUGACUUACUAUAUGUGUUACUAUUGGAUCUCACUUUCUUAGAGCUCGUGUGUAGUUGGCUACUAGUUUUAGGCUGUGUUUGUGUUCGGGAGGAGGGGUUGGAACCCUUCCUCUUGGCACGCAAAACAAAACAUCUAUUAUUGUGUGAUUAAUUAAGUAUUUACUAUUUUUUAAAAAAAUAAAUUAAUAUAAUUUUUAAGCAACUUUUGUAUAGAAUUUUUUUUACAAAAACCGUACCGUUUAGUAGUUUGAAAAGGGUGCGCGCGGAAAACGAGGAAGGGAGGUUGGGAAAGUGAGGAAACGAACGGAGCCUUAGUUGCCCACUCUCUCUCCUCCACAUGGGCAUUCAAUACUACAUGACAUCUGGAUAAAACACUAUGAUAGACAUUAGACUAUAGCUUAGGGUAUGUUCGGUAGAGUUCUAAGGCUGAGGGGCUGUUUGUUUGGAGGGGCUAAUCCAUAAGUCCCUCCACUCUAGUCCCUUUUAGCCCCUAAAAUACCAAACAAGAGGGACUAAAAGAGGCUAAAACUACCUAGGUCAUAAGUCCCUGCGGGAGGUGCUAAUUCGGACUAAAGGCCUAUAGCGCACCUACCAUUAAAUGGAUGAAGCAUGUAGGUGCUGGAUAAAGUGCUACUAGAUAGGUCAUUUAACGAGGUUUUAGUCACUUUUAGUCCCUCCAAACAAACAGGAUAGAACUAAUGAGGACUUAUGUUUUAGCCCUGGAACUAAUUUUUAGCUCUAGGACUUAUGGAACAAACAUGACCUGAGUUAUUUCUUCAACUUUCCCAACUCACAUUCCUCGUGUUCCGUGCGCACGCGUUUUAAUCUGCUAAACGGUGUGUUUUUUAAAGGUUGCUAUACGAAAGUUGCUUAAAAAAUCAUAUUGAUCUAUUUUUAAAAAAAUAGCUAAUACUUAAUUAAUCACACGCUAAUGAAUCGCUCCGUUUUCCGUGCGCAGAAAAUGUCUUCCCAAUACAGGCUGCAGAACACAACCUAACUUCUAAGGCCGAGUUUAGUUUCAAACUUUUUCUUCAAACUUCCAACUUUUCCAUCACAUCAAAACUUUUCUACACAAACUUCCAAUUUUUCCGUCACAUCGUUUCAAUUUCAACCAAACUUCCUAUUUUAGCGUGAACUAAACACACUCUCAGGGCUGGCCCUGACUUUUUGGUGGCCCAUUGUGGAUCAAAAAAUGAAGGCCCCCAUUCACCAUAAAAAUACAAGAUAAUAUUUAAAAACUCAUUGUCAUUAACGAAUUUCACACUAAUAAGUUUAAAAUACCAAAAAGAAAUUUCUCUAGCUCAUUUAAAAUAAUUUCUUCUAACAGUUCUACAUGCAAAAUUAGUUAUGAUAGUGUCAAUAAUAAUCUCAUCUAUAUCUUCUCAAUGCACAAAGUAGCCUAUCAGGGUAUAUAUAUUUUGGAGGCCUCUAAUUUUUGGAGGCCCAGUACGGUCGCACUACCCGCACUGCCCUAGGGCCGGCCCUUCACACUCUAAAUUUAACUUGAAGAUUUAUGUCUGGUACGGGCGUGGCGGAGCAGCCUCAAGCCCACUCACUUUGAUUCAGUUUAUUUUAAUAGCACUUUACUCUCCUCUGUUUUAUUUUUAGAUAGACUCUGAGACCCGGUUUAGAUGGGACUAAAACUUUUAAAUCCCUAUCACAUCAGAUGUUCGAACACUAAUUAUAAAUAUUAAACGUAGACUAUUAAUAAAACACAUCCAUAAUCUUGGACUAAUUCGCGAGACGAAUCUAUUGAGCCUAAUUAAUCCAUGAUUAGCCUAUGUGAUGCUACAGUAAACAUUAUCUAAUUAUGGAUUAAUUAGGCUUAAAAAUUUUGUCUCGCAAAUUAGUUUUCAUUUAUGUAAUUCGUUUUGUAAAUAGUCUAUAUUUAAUACUCUAAAUUAGUGUCUAGAUACAGAGACUAAAGUUAAGUCCCUACAUUCAAACACCACCUGAAACCAGAGUCUGAAGCUGAAGCUAUAAUUGUGACAAACAGAUUUCAGUAGCAUGAACACGAGGGAGGGAUCCUGCAUGUAUUACAUAGUACUCCCUCCGUUUCAAAAUGUUUGACACCGUUGACUUUUUAGCACAUGUUUGAUCGUUCGUCUUAUUCAAAAACUUUUGUGAGAUAUGUAAAAUUAUAUGCCUACAUAAAAAUAUAUUUAACAAUGAAUCAAAUGAUAGGAAAAGAACUAAUAAUUACUUAAAUUUUUUGAAUAAGACGAACGGUCAAACAUGUGAUAAAAAGUCAACGCCGUCAAACAUUUCGAAAAUGAAGGAGUAGUCGGUUUCGUGCGUCUUAUCUUGGGUGUCGUCCUGUCUGCCUAGCGCCUACCAUGACACCGUCAGAAACAGUGAGACAAACACGAUACAAGACAAGCACGUACUGUACCGCGCAUACGUACAGCAAUACAGCAGCACAUGAGACAAGAAGACGACGAAAUGAAGGAAAUUAAUCAGCCGCGUUCCGUUCGGCGUAGGCCACGCGUGUGCGUUGGGCCACACACAACUAACUCCUUCGGCUACAGACGUACUCUCUCUCUCUCUCUCCGUUCCCUAAUAUAAGAGAUUUUUAUAUUUUAUUUGUAUUGUUUGACUACUUAUCUUAUUAAAAAAUUUAUGCAAAUAUAAAAUACGAAAAGUUAUGUUUAAAAUACUUUGGAUAAACAAAUAAUAAUUCUAAAUUUUUCUAAAUAAGAUAAAUGGUUAAACAGUACAGCUAAAAUGUGUUAUAUUAGGGAGUACUAGCGGUGGCCUUUUGUUUUGUGUACACUACCAAACCGGGGUGUUCAUUUCUCUCUCUCUCAGCCGCACAGGCGCACAGCACAAUCACACAAACACAAGAUCAGCUUUCGCAACCGUUGAGUGCGUGGAGACCCUCUGCGUUCGAUAAACAUCGGCGCCGGGGGAAAAAAGGCGUGCUUCGCCUUGUCUCGUCCGGUCGCGGCCGCUGCUCCAGCCAGCCUCCAGGCAGAAGCAACCGGUCAACGGCGCAGGCAACGCCACCGACCGACCGACCACCGGUAGUGCUCGUUUCUCGCCGAGCGCAGCAGUCGUGGAGGAGGGCCUAAAACGCCGCGCUUUUGAAGAGUUUUCAUAGAGGCAGGCGGCGGCAUGGGCUUUCUUGGUGCCGCACACGCGUGCGUGACUGCACACGAUGGAGUUAAGCCAUGAAUUAAGUUCACUUUAGGUCCCUUGAUUUGUUGCCGAAUCUGAUAUACGCUCCCUGAACCGCAGCGUCAGAUAUGGCGUGUCCCUCAACUCUUCGAACCAGUGCUAAUAAGAUUCCAAAAUGAUUUGGACUGUGGUUUCGGAUGACUUGCGCUGCCCACCGCAGAGCUGACCCUUCUCCUUCCCUACCUCGUCGUUGACACCACCUCUUCUUGCAUGUGCUUCCCACCUACAUCCUUCACCGCUAAGCGAGCACAAAUAAAACCCUAUGUCUUUGAGCUAUAUAGGGCUGCCUACUUGCCCCGAUCCAUCUUCCUCUCUUGAUUUCUUGCUCCUAUGCAGGUUCAAUUCUUGUGGUACGAGAUUUGGGCGUACGAGAUAAAAAACCCUAAUAUUUGCUUGGUUCUUUCACGCCCGAAAUUUCUAUCCAAAAUUCCAAACGCUUACAUGUGUAUAAAUCCUCGUCCAGGAAUCAGCCGAGGCACACAAUAACAAAUUGAUAAUAGAGUACAAAUUAUUACUCUAAUCAAUAAGCGAACAAAAUGUCAUUACAGAGGUAGAUAGUUCCUCUCAAUCAAUAAAGUCCUAAGCAGCGGAAAAAAUAAAAGAAACAGCGCAGACGACUCCUCUCCACAGGCAGCUUGACCAGGGCUACGCCUAAUCAUCAACUCCAUCAACAUCACUGUAGAACUCCUCCUCUGAUUAAUGAUUGCAAGGUGAGUAUAUGACAUACUCAGCAAGCCACACAGCAAAUAUGCAAGUGCACAGGAUAACAAAGGAUGGCAUAGUAUAGUCUCAUUUGCAUAAACAACAUUUAAUAAAUAUUUCAGAAUUUCAUAAAACAGUAGAGUAUUAAAUAAACAGUAUUAAACCAACGCUAUACAACAUACCCUGUUGUAUAGGCCCAACCAUCAUGCACAACCAAUCCCGGCUGCACAAGUCUAUCUCCAAACCAGGAAUUAACCAUUCCAAAUCAGGAGCUAAACAAGUUAAUAACAUCAUCAUUUAAUAUAGUGUGGGGGUGAGACUAAUCACGAAAGACAUUGUUAGACCCGCCCAUAACCGCGGACACGGCUAUUCGAAUAGUUUAAACUCUGAUCAGAAGUGUACCACUGUACCCACAAGACACAACCUCAACAUCAUGUCAACCAUGCGUCGCGAUACUUGACAAGUACCCGAAUAGAGAGAUUGUGACAAUACCCUCUAUAUAAUACAAUUCAAAGCAGUGCACCGUUCCCGGAUCAUAAUCACCCCCUUAUAAACAAGGUAUGGACUCCCCAGUGACCCCCGUGGGCUUAUCUCCGCCACUUCACAGUCUGGUGCUCUACUAUGAACCAUACUAUACAGAAAGUAAAGCCGUUGCCCACGCUGGCUUGUGGUUGGCACGGUAAAUGUUUCACAACCGAAAAUCGUGAACCGAUCCUUAAUUGUCAUGAGCACAACCAUCAAAACCAUAUGCUCACAACCCACCAUUAUCAUAUUUUAAUUGUCAAAUUAAUUAAUUAACCAAUCAUGAUUAACCAUCAUGAGCUAUCAUUAAGCCAUCAUUAAAUAAUAGUGAAUCUUAAAUUAUCCCAUUAGUGAACUAAUGUUUCUAAGCAUGGCUAAGCAAUUAUACCUAACAUCUAGCUGAACCAUUAUAUGAAGCUCAACUAGUCAAAUUAUAAUAGCCCAAGGUAUCAAAGAAUAAAGUAAAUAUGUACAAAAGGGCCAUAACAAAGAAUAGGUUACUUCCACCCAAUGACAUUCGAAAAUAGAUGCAAUAGUUGAAUAGAAACAAUAGCUUUAAAUAGGAUCAACAUGCUCAAAGGGUUGUUUGGGAUCUGUGUGACUUGCCUUGCUGGCCUUGAAAAUCCUCAAAGUCUUCUCCUGCAAAAUCGGACUCUCCGGGAACGUCGGAAUCUAAAGAAAAAAGAGCAAAAUCACCAAAACAGCACAUAAACAAGCAUGAACAGUACAUGUGGAUAUUUUUAACAUGUAGAUCUCAAUUUUAGAAAAAUUUAGAGACUUGAACCAACUAAAUCCGAGCUAAGAUGAAUUAGUUAUGAAUUUUCAAAGAUUAAAUCGAUUUAAAUCAUUUAUAUGGAUUUUAAUUGAAUUAUGACGCAAUAAUGAAUUAUUUUUGAAAAGGAAAAAGGGGUUUAUUGCGUCAGCGGGCUCGGCUCACGGUGGACCGGGUGCACAGCGACGGUUCACGAGAUUGGACGGCUGAGAUCUAUCCUAUCUACAACGGACGGCCGAGAUCGAUUGGAUCCACCGCGGCUCACGGAUGGACGACGACGAUGACGUCAGCGACGACGUCACCACCAGCGGCGACCGAACCGUGCGAGCUUGUCGGCGAACCACGGCACGUGUAACGCCCCGAUUUUCGUUCGGGUUUAAAAAUCAUUAAAUAAUGCAUUUUCUAGAAAUUAAAUAAAAGUUAAAUCAAUUUAAUCAAGUGAAAUAAUGGGAGAAUUAAAAUUUUCCCUUAAAAAUCAUUGGCCGGGAAUAUUUUGUAAUAUUCUUUGUGCCUUAAAAUACUCUCCGGAUUUUUCCGUGAAUUUUCGGAGUUCAAGAAAUAAUUUUAAAGUCACAAAGUUCAUUAAACUAAUUUAAAUAAAAAGAAAACAAAAUAAACUUCCCCUUCCUCCCUUUCGGGCUCGGCCCAAAAUCCUCUCUCCUUCCCCUCCCGCGGCCCGGCUUGCCUCCCCUUUUGGCGCAAGUCUGCUUUUCAUCCCUCCCGGCCUCUCCUCUCACUCAGGCCGACAGGUGGGACCCGUGGGCCCCACCUGUCAUCCCCAACCUCCAGCCCGGGCCGGCAACUGCCAUGGCCGCCCGAGCCGCCCACGUCGCCGCCCCUCCCCGCGCGUCUUCCGAUUCCCGCGCGCGUGUGGGCGCGGUCCACCCCACGUCAUCCCCUUCCUCCACCAUUUCCCCCACUUCUCCCCUCCAAAACCGGCGCCAAACUGCCCCCACUCACCCAUGUCGCCGGCGCCCCUUUCCCCCUUCAAAUCCGUCGCCAACCGGCCUCCCCGUCGACUCUCGAGGCUAUAAAAACGAUCCCCGGGCUCCCCUCAUCCAUUUCCCCCAUUUUCCCCAAGCCGCCACGCCCUCCCUCGCUCUCCCCGCGCCGAGCCCUUGCACCGCCGCUCUCCGGCGAACUCCAGCAGCGCCGCGCCGCCACUCCCGUCCACCCCGCACUGCGCCGUCGCCCUCCCCGGCACCGCAGCCGCCGUGCGCACCCCGGCAUCCACUCCGUUCUCUCCUUCCACCCCCGCAGCACCAUUCCCACCGCGAGGCCGAGCUUCCACCGCCGUUCGCCGCCCCAGCCGCCCGCUACUGCCGCCCUAGGGGCUGCAGCGCCGCGCCGUUUGUGUCGUCGGCAUCGCGGUGCCGAGCUCUACCCCGACCCCUAGUCCUUUUCCCCUCCCCAACUCCGAAACACCGCCACCACGUGCACCACCUCCCUCCGCCGUCGCCGCUCCCGCACCCUGCCACCACCGCAGCCGGCUUCGCCGCCGCGAGGACAAGCCUGUCGGCCGCUCCCCUCCCCCAAUCGACCGCCAAGCUGUCACCUCCACUGCCAACCCGAGGCCGCCGCCGCUUUCGCCGCCCCGGCCACCGUUUACCGCCGCUCCCGGCCGUCCCGAGCCGCACCCGUGGCCAUCCUCAGCGUCGCCGCGUCGUGCCGCACCUCGGUUGCCGCCCCUCGCCGCCGAAAUUCCACGGGAGCCCGCUUUUCCCCGUUCAAGGUCCCGGAGGCCCCCGGCCGUCACUCGUCGCCCGUCGGCCGCCGUUGGGGCGCCGCCGUCGUCCUCGCCCGGGGAGCUCCGCCGCUACCUCGCCUCCGUCCGGUGCCGUGCCGCUUGGUGAGCAUCCCCUUUCCUCCUCUUCUUUCCGCCGCCCUUCGCGCGCCCUCUCGCGCCGCCGCUCGCCGCCGGUGGCCGUGCGCCGCCGUGCGUCGUGUCUCGACCGGGCCGGCUCUGAGCCGUGCCCGUGCUCUGGGCGCCCUGCCUCGUGGCCGCCCGAUCGGCUCGAGCUGAUCUGGGCCAUCGGUUCCCGUGGACCGGCGGUGGACCACCCCGUGGUCCCGGUCCACGGUGGACCGAUUCCCUUGACCCGCUGACGUGUGGGGCCCGCCUAUCGGCGCCGGCCUUUUUGAUGACGUCAGUACUUAAGCUUUUCCUUUGAAAAAAUAAUUAAUAAUUGCGCAAUAAAUCGAGUUUAAUUCUAGAAAUUCAUUUAAAUGGCUCAAAACUUCUAAAAUCCAUAUCUAAUUCAUUCGAACUCCGAAUUGAGCCGUUCAACUUGCAAAAUUCAUCUAAAAUUGAGCUCUACAUGUUUGUUUACUUUUUAUGUACUAUUUCCUUGGUUUUUAUUAGAGUUUUUCCUCGUUUUGCGUGCCAGCGUGUAGUUUCCGUCGUUUCGGAAGUCCGCGGUCGCGAGGAAAAGAGUUCGGAAGAUCAAAGUGAAGAAGCAAGGCAAGUCACACAUUCCCCUUGAGCAUGUUGAUCCUAAUUUACAAAUGUUUUACUGUUUGCAAAUAAAUAUGCAUGUUUUGCUAAUUACACGGGAUCAGGGUUUACCUAUCUGCUCGCUUGUGCCAUGUUUACUUGAUAUCUAUCCUUUGUCAACAUUGGGUAAUAAAUCGACUAGCUCAUGUUACUUAUGUGACUUAGCUAGAACUAUAUGCUUAGCCAUGCUUAAUUACCACUAGCUCAGUUGAUAGGAUAAUUACAGUAUUAGACCUUUUUAGUAUCAGAGUGAGCUGCGUGCUCGAGACAUCUGGCCAUGCUUCAUGGUCGUAAUUAUCCAACUAAAAUACAACUGAAUGGUGGGCUGUGGGUGCAUGGUUUUGCUGGUCGCACCCAUGGCAGUUAAGGACCGGUUCGCGGGAUGCCCUGGAAGAACUUAUCGUACUUACCACAAGCCAGCGUGGGCAACGGCUAGGCUUGUAGUGUAGCUUUCCUCUAGUCGACGCAUCCAGGCAAGGGUGGGCGUGAUGGAGCGGGGCGGGCCCUGCGACGGCCUCUGUCGCUUCCGGAUUCACCUAGGCACGAGAGGGGACUGCCCGCUGCCUUGCGAGGAGUGGGGGUGAAACCUGAGGUGUGGUGUGCUUGAUUAGAGGGGGUUAUGCGAAGGGUCCUGUCACGGCCUCUUUCCGGUAUGUCGUGGUGGCAUGUCGGCGCACGGAAACGUGUCGUGGGGCUGUGUCUUGUGGGUACAGUUGUACACCUCUGAUCAGAGUAAAACUAUUCGAAUAGCCGUGCCCGCGGUUAUGGGCGGUCGACCAGAUUCACCGUGAUUAGUCCCAUCUUAAUAAAUCGACCCAAUACACUGUAGUCCAGGUGGGUUGGUUGGGCCUGUUCAACGUGGUGUAGCGUUGAUCAGUGGAGAUUUAAUGUUACUUUAAUUACUCAACAGUUUUACUGUUUUGCUCAAUAAAAUGUUUUACAACCGCCUUUAUGCAAAUAGCCACAAACCGUCCUUGUGUUACCCUUGCACGUCUGCAUCGUUGGUGUGGCUUGCUGAGCAUGGUGGUUGUACUCAGCCUUGCUAUUAUUCCCCCUUUUCAGAAGUGUAGUGCUUCUGAGUUGAAGACGAAGUUAGAAGACCAAGGCUCAGACCCCAGUUGAGUUUUGCCUGUGGAGUGGAGCUGAAGCCCCGCUAGGAUCGCCUUUUUCCGCUGCUGUCGUUCUGUUUCAGUGUGAGGACUAAGUGCCUCUUCCGUAAGUAUUUUACGCUUUAUUUACGUUUGGAACUGUAUAUUACUUGUCGUUUUGUGUACCCUGGCUGGUCCUGGACAGGGAUUUAAUACGCAAAAUAGUCUGGAAAUUUGGGUUAAAUUUCUGGGCGUGACAGCACGACAGCGCGAACGGAAAGCACCUACGGGUUGCGGGCGGCACGGCGAACUCACCGGCGACCAAAGCGACGGCGGACGAUGACCGGACGACGUCGGCGACAAGGAAGAAGCGGCGGCAACCUUCGGCUUGACGACGGCGACGGUGCUCCGGCGGUCGACAGCGACGACGAAGGGGCGAACGAGAACGGCGACGAGACGGCGACCACGACGGCGACCUCCCCGAGCGACGGUGACGACUGGAGCGACGGCGGCGCACGGCUGGAGCGGCGGCGGCGACGGCGGCGCUAGACUGCACGGGGCUAGGGCGCUACGGGCGGCGAGGGACGAAGGCGAGGGUGGCGGCGGGUAGCGGCGGGCUUGGGGGUCAAUUUAUAGCGGCUAGGAGGCGGCGACGGAGGCCCACGGCGACCGGCGACGAGAAGGAAAGUCUAGGGUUCGGAGGAGAGAGACCGAUCCGAUUCAACCUUGAAUCCACGAAUUUCCAAACGAUUUUAGCCGAUGAUUCCAAAAGAGAAAAGAUAGAGGAGAUCGAGAAGAUCAUUUCCCCUCUAUUGAUUUCAUCGGAAACGGAAAGGAUCGGCCGGAUUGGAAUGGCGGCGGCGGGGCGCGGCUAGGGUUUCGCCGGGAGGAAGACGACGGGCCGGCCCCACCUGUCAGCGGGCGAACGCGCGCGCGCGGGCGGCUGACUGGGCCGAUUGGGCCGAGGGAGAGAGAGAACGGUUUGGGCCGACUUUCGGCCCAAAGCCUAAAGAGGAUUUUAAGAACUUUUUUCAAUUUAAAUUAUUCAUUAACUGCAAUUCCAUUUAUUAAAAAUACUUCUUUAGCUCAAAUAAAUCCCAGAAAAAUCUAGGAAUUAUAGAAUUAAGCAAAGUAUUUAAUAAAAUUUUAUCUGGCCCCAUUUUAUAUUGGAAUUUAUUUAUUAAAAUUAGAUCUUCUCUUCUAGGCUUUUUAAAAUAAAUUCUAAUAAUUCCAAUUUAACAACAAUUUAUAAUUUGGAGAUUUUUAGGGUGUGAUAGUUCUCCCUAUCUUGAUUUGGCUUUCCUCACCGCCGAUAAGAGGAUGUUGGGGGAUGGGAAGGAGAUGCUCAAAUUGCGGGGCAGGGCGGGGAUUUCAAAAUCAGGCACUAUAUUGACUGGGACCUCGAGUACAUCGGUUUUAUAAGUUGAGAGAUGCGUUAUAUCUAGUAUUGUUGUUCGAGGAUGUAAUUCAAACUCGCCACCAAGACGAGGGACCUAAAGUGAACUUAUUCCUUUGACGGCUACAACAAAUGUUGCUGCUAUGGGAAGAAUUAAGGGUUAAUUGAAUUCAUGUCACUAUAAAUUUUACAAUUUUAAAUUCUACUAUUAUUAUUCAUGUAAUUAAAAUCAUGCCAUCACAACAAAUCUAAUGCCCCUAUCUCUUUGCUUUAAUGGAUGACCGACAUGGAUAGCGCUAGUGGAAACACUGACCAGCGGCGAUGGUGGAAAGAUGACAGCGACUGGGGACCAAGACAUGCACAUGGUGAGGAGGGAGUCACACCAAGGAUUGACGAAGGUAAGGUAGAACGUAGAAUUGGCAGGGAUGGUGGCCCUUUCCUUCUCGGUCACCGCUACCACCUUCAGGAUAGCUGCAUCGAUCACCACCCACGGAUCCUCCUGCUUCGCUAGUUUCGGCGCCGUAACAAACGAAGACUAGUUGUUGCCUCAACCAUCAGCGUAGAACUGUGUCGAGGCAACCGUAAUAGAGCUCUACCACCGGUUGUACACAACUAUGCCUAAACCUGCCCGCCAGGGAUACACCAGGGCCGUUUCUACUGGAGUGGUGGUGCCUCUUGGCUCGAGCACCGCCACAAGUGGCUUCGCCCAGAUUUGGAGAGAGCGAGAGAGGGGGCCGCCGGAUUUGCUAGGGCCGAACCCUAGCGCCAGAACAAGAUUCGAGCCCUAGCGGCAUUGCCGUUGUUUGGCCGUCGUCCUUGCAUCAUUAGCGUCUUACCAUCCUCCACUUGCCCCCGCGUACCGACAUCCUCUGCUCAUUCUCCCUGCGCCGCUAGAAUCAGGCUGUGUUUGAGGGGAGGAGAUAUAGGAGAUUGGGAAGAUACGCAAAACGAGGUGAGCCAUUAACACAUGAUUAAUUGACUAUUAAGUAUUUUAAACUUUAAAAAUGGAUUAAUAUGAUUUUUUAAAGCAACUUUCCUAUAUAAUUUUUUUACAAAAAAACGCACCGUUUAGUAGUUCGGAAAGCGUGCGCGCGGAAAACGAAGCAAAACUCACUCACAAUCACCCAGAUCACCCAGGAAAGAACACAGCCUCAGUCUUCAUUCUCGCAUCGCAUUUGGCUGCCGUCAUCCUCGUGAUGUCCUCGUCCCAAGGCUGACAACUCACAUGAUUUGCUUGGACAUUGGUGAUGGCAAGGACAGCUACGGCAUGAGGGCAGGGACAUUUUAGUACAUACAAAAAUAUUGCCUAAAAAUUAUUUGAAACUUGUUUCAGGCGUACAGUGUGGUAUGGAUCAAAUUUUGUGCUUCUUAUGAUGGUAUGGUUUCAGUUAUAUAAAUAGUAAUAGAUUUUAAAACCUCAAAAGUUAUAAUAUUUUAUAAUGAUAUAGAUCAAAUUAACGCAGGAUUAAGAGGGCAGAAAUUGACUCGGCACGUUUCUGCAUACUGACACGCAACUGUCUGUCAGCGUCAAAAUUAAACAUAUUCUUUUUUUACGCAAAAUUAAACAUAUUCUUAUGCAGCACGUGGUAUCACUGGCAAAUUAGGCUGUUGCUUUCUGAAGCGGUGCUGUGUGUUGGAAUCUUGGAGAGGAGGUGGAUAUGUACUAAAAAACUGACCUCUUAAUAUCGUGCUCAUUUAGAACGUAGAAUCUGAUAUAGAAUAAAUAAAUAAAUGCUGCUACUCCAUCCAAUUUUCUCUACUAGGGGUUAUCAGUUAUAAGGCGUGCUCGUAGUAAAAAAACAACCGUAAAAUUUGAAUUUCUUUAGAAGACCUAAAAUUUAAAUUCUAUUAGGUAUAUACUCGACUGCAACGGAUUCAUAUGACUAUAUCAUUGUGAAUAGGUGCACAAAUAUGAUUACUCCCUCCGUGUUUUAACAUAUGACUCCAUUGACUUUUUAAUAAUGUUUGACUAUCUGUAUUAUUUAUUUUUUUGCAAAUAUAAUAAUAUUUAUGACAUACUUAAUGAAUAUUUGAUGAUAAAUCAAGUCACAAUAAAAUAAACGAUAAUAACAUAUUUUUAAUAAAACGAAUAAUCAAACAUUGGUCAAAAAGUCAUUGGUCAAAAAAUCAACGACGUCAUACAUUAAAAUACAGAGGGAGUAUUUUCUUUACCAUCACGCGUGAGGGGAGGCAGGCUAAUGCGACAUUAUCUUUAAAAUCGAAUGGAAGUAAAACUCAAAAUUUACAAAGUAGGGCAGGUCAAACAGUUCUCUUUCAAUAAAACUUGCCCACCAAAGUUUAAGUUCUAAACUUGACAUGUGUGGUCGUAUUUGUCGAUUAAUUAUUUUUCCAGUAGAGAGCGAUGAACGAUACAAUUAUGACAACAUACUUAUAGGGUCAUAAAGAUUGGUAGGGUAAAGUUACGCUGUUCAAUUAAAUGUGGUUUUUAUUAGGGAUAAUCCUAAUCUACGUUAUAUGUAAUAUGAGAGAGUAUGAGCCUCUGUGGCACGAAUUGAGAUCCUCUGCCUUUAAAUACAUCAUGCCUUUUAUUACUGACACGUGAUCCCAUAUAGUUUAUCGGUUUCACAUGCCAAUGACAAACACAUUUUGAAGGUAGUGGAGCCUGAUCCCCGUGGCACCCCUCUGGCAUCAUGCCAAACUUGCCAAGCGAGAAAAGCGAUCGGUACACACAUCGUGGUGACCACGAAGGAGGAGCCAGCCACGUGGACCGCUUCAACGCCAGGAGAUCCGCGCGCCACGUCGCUGCCCUGUGGGGCCAUCCCUCGAGGGCAUCUCAAUCUCUAUCCAUCAAUCCGGCCCGGCCCCACCUGCAGUUGGAGAGAGCGCGUGGCAGCGUCCACGUCACCAGUGGGGCCCUGGAACGUACUACGCCAGAUGUGACCUGAUGAGGUUUUGCUACCCUCCUCUGUCAUCUCGUCAUUACUGACAUGUGGGCCCACGCUUCACCUUGGCCCACCGGUCAUUGGCGUCCUGGUUAAUGUGCGAAAAUCAAGGAGAGUGGCCAUCAACAGGCAGGAGCCAUGAGCUGGCCCCCACGAGAAGUUGUUGGUGUUGGGAUUGGGAAUCUGUUGGCUAUUGCUUGGGAUGAAAAUUAAAGGAAAAUCUAUAAAUUUUGUUCUCAAAUGAAAUGAAGGGUUGAUUUGGUUUGUGGCCUAAAUUGGUCUUACCAAUUCGUCAAUGUCAAAUUUUGGUAACUUUUAGCAUGGCUAAUUUUGGCAAAAGUAAAAUUAUGUUUGGAUUGAAGCCAAAAUAGCCUAAAUUAACUGUUAAAAUGGCAUAUUUUUUUAGGUAUGUCAAAAUUUGGCUCCAAACCAAAUAGACAAUAAACACUAUUGAAAUUGCCAAAUAUUGGUAAGGCCAAUAUAGGCCUCAAACCAAACCAACCCGAAGUUAACCUGUGAUCCUCCUCCUGAUCAUGUGCUCACAGAGGUUAAUUUCUCUGAGCUCAGCAAACCAUGUUCAGUUAAUCAAUUUUUGCCAUCAAGUUAGAGUGAAAACAUGGUGAAACCCUGAAUACACUUGGACUGGGUUAACGAGAUGAUAAUCGUCCCAUGACUUGGAACAAAUGGCCAUCAUGACAGUCACAUCAAUAUAUUAUUAGCACUACAUCAUACACCUACCAAAUAAUAACAAAUAACCUUAAGUCCUUAACAAAUAAUAAGUGCACAAAAACACGGAGAAAAAAUAACAAAAAAGAUAUCCACUCGCAAAUCAAAGAAAGACUGGCAGAGUAAGGCUGUCUUUAGAUCACACUGAAAUUUUGGUUGAAAUUGGUACGAUGUGAUAGAAAAGUUGUGUGUGUAUGAAAUGUUUGAUGUGAUGGAAAAUUGGAAGUUUGGAAAAAAACUUUGGAACUAAGGCUAUGUUUAGUUCAGCGCAAAGUUUGGAUUUUGGUUAAAAUUGGAGAUGAUGUGACCGAAAAGUUAUGUGUGUAUGACAGGUUGAUGUGAUAGAAAAGGACUAAAGUUUGAAUCCAUCUAAACACAGCCUAAACAGGACCUAAACAAAUUCCUAACUACUCUAGCUAAAAUAUCGCAGAAACCCUCCCCACAAAUUAAUUGAUCUGCUUCCUCCUCCCCUCCUCUCAUGUCAUUGUCCUGCAAUACACGAGGAGCAAAGAGUUGUGUGUAAUCCUCCUCCUACUCUGGGUCAGCUCUUAAUCCCUUCAACUUCCGUCGGUUGGACGCCACCGGAAGCCAAUCCCUGUUUGGUGUUUUACCCCCAAUUUUGUCAGAUUUUUUGGAGCGAAACCACGAGCUGUUUGAAGUGUUCGGCUUCGGAAUCUCUUUCUUGGAGUUCUAGGAAUGGGGUUUUGAUACAAAGAUUGAAGCCUUUUUGUUAGCGUUGGUGCAAAGAUUGUAUUGUAUUGUUUUUUUUUUCUGCGAUGGGUGGAGGCGUCACGGAGCGGCUCCCGGAGGGCAGCAGCGAGCCGCUGCUCCCGACGAAGCGGGAGGGCGGCGGCGGCGGCGGCGAGUUCGCCGGCGCGGUGUUCAACCUGUCGACGACCAUCGUCGGGGCCGGAAUCAUGGCGCUGCCGGCCACGAUGAAGGUGCUGGGGCUCGCCCCGGGGCUCGUCGCGAUCUUGCUCGCCGCGCUCCUCACCGACGCCUCCAUCGAGCUGCUCGUCCGGUCCAGCCGCGCCGCCGGCGCGCCGUCGUACGGCGCCGUCAUGGGGGACGCGUUCGGGUGGUGGGGGAGGCGGCUGCUCCAGGUCUGCGUCGUCGUCAACAACAUCGGCGUCAUGAUCGUCUACAUGAUCAUCAUCGGUAAAAAAAAAAUUCGAUACAACAACCUGAAUUUUGACUUCAAUAUUGCCUUCACUAUUUAGUUGUUCAUGUGACUCUAGAAUUGCUGAAUAUUUCAUUUUCUUUUUUACUUAUAACCAUUUCUCUAGAAGUUAUAUCAUCAGUAUCGGUUCGUGUGGAAUGUAGAGUAGAUUGCAAAUUCUGAACUAACUCAAAUGCAAUUGAGUAAUCGAUUGAGGAAGUUUGGCCUUCUAAUUGUGAACUGUAGGAUAUGAUGCCUUCUGAAUAAACUCGGCAGUUUUGCUUACAUGUGAGAUUUAAGUUGCGUUCUGCAUUGUGCUGUAGAUAAUCGUAACUGUUUAUUUGAGGCCAUAAUUUCGUGCUGAGGCAUGGCAGUGUAUCUGACAUACACAUUGGGGUACUUCACUCUAGGUGAUGUGCUAUCUGGAACCUCCUCUGGUGGUGAGCACCAUUAUGGUGUUUUAGAAGGAUGGUUUGGGCCACAAUGGUGGAACGGGCGUUUCUUUGUCCUCCUGGUUACAACUCUUGUUGUAUUUACUCCACUGGCAUGUUUGAAGCGUGUCGGUAAGUAGUCUCUUCACUUAGCCUUAUACUUUCGUGAGAUUUUAUUUUGUACCAUUUUGUCGUACUGCCAAUUCAUGACAUCGCUAUGUUUUUGUUUGUUUCUUGCAGAUUCACUGAGUUACACAUCUGCCAUAUCCGUUGCUCUGGCAGUUGUUUUUGUUAUUAUUACUGCAGGAAUUGCUAUUGUCAAGUUGAUAAAGGGACAAAUUCCAAUGCCUAAGUUGUUUCCUGAUGUUCCCGACUUGGCAUCUAUUUGGGAACUUUUCACAGCAGUGCCAGUUCUUGUCACUGCUUAUGUUUGCCAUUAUAAUGGUAUGAGACAAAUUGAAGUUUUGACUUGUUGGUGCAUUAUAAAAUUUUAUUUUAGUAGGGAAGACUUUCUUUCAAUUUUCUUUUAGAUAAUGUCCUGAUGUCUUAUAAAAGCCCGAAUAGGGUUGCUUACUUCUAAGUUUUCUAAAGAGAUUUGAUUGAUAUUUUGCAGUCCACCCAAUUCAUAACGAGCUGAAGGACCCUUCUCAGAUUAAGCCAAUAGUACACACAUCAUUGGUUCUAUGCUCAACUGUCUAUAUCACAACAAGUUUCUUUGGAUAUCUCCUCUUUGGUGAAUCUACGCUGUCUGAUGUGCUCGCCAACUUCGACUCCAAUCUUGGUAUUCCAUACAGUCAGAUGCUAAAUGAUGCUGUUAGAGUGAGCUAUGCUGUUCACCUUAUGCUUGUGUUCCCCAUGAUAUUCCAUGCACUACGGCUUAAUUUGGAUGGGCUUCUCUUUUCCUCAUCAAGUCCUCUGUCUUCCGACAACCGAAGAUUUUCUGUAAUGACAGCGGUACUUCUCCUAGUUAUUUUCCUAUCAGCGAAUUUCAUUCCGAGCAUCUGGGAUGCCUUCCAAUUUACUGGUGCAACUGCUGCUGUGUGUAUCGCCUUCAUUUUUCCAGCCGCGAUCACUCUAAGGUAAGUUAAUGGAUUAAUGUUCAUUGUGAUGCUUUUAUUUUGUUCCACCUCUACAUAUAUUAUGAAAAAAUGGCUGGGAUAUUUAUUCCGUUAUCUCAAAAAAAAAAAGUGUUAUAGUACUUCUGCUAACAUGCACGAAGAGAAGUGAAGAAUUCUACAUUUGCAGAUUUCCACACUGUAGUAAUUGCUUGUUUUGAUAUCACCUUUUCAAUGUUGUGAUGUUAUGGCUGUCUAAUUUAUUUUGCUUCUAAUUUUGCAGGGAUCCACACAGUAUAGCAAAGAAGUGGGACAAAAUCCUGUCCAUCUUCAUGAUUGUUCUUGCAAUUGUAUCAAACGUAGUAGCUGUGUAUAGCGAUGCAUAUUCAAUGUUCCACAGGAAAAGUUCCCCUUCCAUAGCCUGAUAUUCCAAAAUCCUAUUGGCGAGUCAGUGGAUUCUUUAUCUGAAAGAUGGCUUGUACAUUAGCUAGCAAAUAAAAUCAUUAUUUAGGCAAGUAUUUACGGGAUUUAUUUUACGGUUUAUUUGGCAAACAACCCUUGACUCAAUUAUGUUGAGUUGGAUGUAUCUAUAGGAUGGGUGUGUAAACUUUGGUCCGAAGUGUUUUAGUCCAAUGUACAAUUCAAGAUCAAUUUGAAUCAAAUGUGAAUUAUGGAGUUAUUAUUGUAACAAAAGAUAAACAAUUAUUUUUUCGAAUGUAAAUCACUGAAAUGGCAACUCUGUUCAUGCAUUUGCACUUCUGUAUAAACAUGCUACUAAUCUGGUUUCUUGGAUACAAUAAAAUUGGUGCUUUUUGUUGUUUCUUGUUGAAGGUGUCAUUCCAGCUGUAGCCGUUGGCUUAGCAGAACAGCCUUAUCCGCUAAUGCUGCGUUUCGUUGCAGCAGAUUAAAAAAAAUCAUAUUUAUCUAUUUUUGUAUUUAAAAUAAUCAGUACUCAAUUAAUUAUACACUAAUAGCUCAUUUGAUAUCUUUUGAAUCUUCUCCUUUCUUGAGACAUUGUUUUGGAGAUGGAGAUGAAACACUAGCUGACUUUAUACGACAACUGCACACAUUCGUCGUAUGCUUCUUGAGACAUUGUUUUGGAGUAGUUGUGGACCUUUUUUCCUUAGAUUUGUUUCGGUUAUUUUGAUUACUUUUCUUUACUGACCGUGUGCAUCCUAAUAGAUACAGAAGUGGAUAGUGUAAUUUCAUUUCUCAACAAAAUCUUACUAUUAUAUGAUGGAAACGAAAAAUGUUAGCAACAGAUGAUGAAGUAAAACUAAAGAUAGUAGCUGCAUUUUUUUUUGCAGCCCCAUCGUUUGGUUGAUUUGAGGAAAAAGCGAAACGACGUAUGUCGGUGAUAUGGGCCUGGCGGUAUGCGAAGUAUGGGGGAGUCACCUUCCCGUCCAUCCACGCGGCCCUACAGCCUGGCCCUCCCCCAACACCUCGGGCAACGCAGAGGCAGCCAGGGGGCCUCGGGGUGCCACGUCACGCCCCUCGAGCCCUCGCGUUGCCUCGCCUCGAGGCCCUCGCCCAACCGCCACGUGGUGAGGGGAGCGAGUGGGGCGGAGACCCAGGCUGAACCAUCAUCAAUGCGCGGCGCGCCAACCGUCCCUCACCGCAUUUAAUGCAGUAAGGGCGGACGUGCGGCGCUGCCCGAUUGACCCACGUCAAUCGGGCGUGACCAGACUGUGACCGGCCUGUCGCCGGUCACGUCUGAUCGGACGGGCGGUAGUGCCCCCACGUUCCGCCCUGUACCCGGUGGAGUGGGGGCAGGUAUGCCCCGUCCCAUCGAAGCAUCAUCUAGAGCCCUCUCCACAUGAGAUGGACCGCCACAAGUCUCCAUUCAUUUAAGAGGGAAUGACAAGGGUGUCCCCCGUGUCAGGCGGGGGGCGGCGUUGGGCCCCACUCGAGGACGGACGGCUGCUUAGCUUCCGGGCGAAGGCACGAAUCGUGGUCCGGUCUAAGCGGAGUGGGUCCCCCUUUCGUGAAGGAGUAGGUAGAGGUGGUGUAUGUGGUAUCCCCUUGAAUUAUAAAAGGAGGACCUUGCCCACCGAGGAAAGGGACGACUCUCGGUGAGCCUAAACCUCAGGGGAAGAAGAGCGAGAGUACUCUCUGGAGUGUAGGAACCUUUGUAACACUCAGCCAUAAAUCCCACACACAGGAGUAGGGUAUUACGCUCCAUAGCGGCCCGAACCUGUAUAAUCCCGGCUCUCGCGCGUGGUCUCAGAAAACUCUAGGCUGAUACAUGAUCUUGAUCAGCGCGCCCUUUCCCCCGGUCGAACUCAUAAAAGGGGAUCUCUCGAUCACCCGCUAGAGAGGGUCACCCCUCGAUAACGUAUUUGCAAAUGAAAAAUAGUUUGCGAAUAAAACUUUUAUAUACGUAUUCUUAACGAUAUAAGAGCAAAGACCAAAAAUAUACUACAAUAAAAAAAAAUCCCAAAAUCAACUCCGAAUUUAAAAUUGAAAAUACAAAAUUUGACUCAUAAGCUUUAAGCGAAAAGAUGAGCCGUUAAUCUUGAUUCCGG